rnacentral:lncRNA from 1 species
AAAAAAAAACUUUUAUACGGGAAAGGGAGAUGAAGGGGGCGGGUCCCAAAAUUAGAGGGCCACAUCCAGAAAUCAUAGAGACCAAAUAAAAAUAAAAAUAAAAAUCUUAACAUCUGGCUAGGUUUCUCCCAUCUUAUUGAGUGUAGGAUGAAGGUUGGUAAGUAACGGGUGCAGCAGAGCCGUAAUCAUAUGCCCCAUAACUGGUCUGGCUUCCAUAAGAACCACUGGCACGGAAACCGGCAGCACUCAUGUUCUCCGCUGGCUGUGAGUAGAGUUGUUGAGGAAUUGUACUGGAGCUUUGAGAGUGAUGGUAGGGUUGCUGAGAGAUUGCAGAAGGGCUUUGAGCGUGGGAGAUACCAUAAGUUGAUGCAUACGGGGCUGCUGCAGGGCCCUCAUAGACACUCUGGCUAGGGUAGUGGAAUGGCCCAGAAUAUCUUCUAGCCGGGCUAUGCUGUGCAGGGGGAGGAGCAUUCCUGCGGCUGAAAGAGGAAUAAUUGUUCGAAAAUUUGGCAGCUUUGGCUUGACGAUAAGGAGGAGGUCCACUGUCCCGGGCACCACUGGAACCAUGGCCUCGCUUGUUUUGAGACUUGGUAGCAGUGGCAGCUGACGUACCCCUCUUCCUCUCUGCUUUGGUUUUUUCAAGCAGAGAAGCACGUUUUCUCAAGCUGUCAAGGGAAAAUUCUGAUUCAAGCUUAUGAUCUUCCACACAUUUGAUGAUUGCUUUAAUAGAAUUCAACUCCAAGGUACUUGACUCAUCCUGCAAAAAAAUUACUAAGAAUCUUGCAGACUCAAAUGUUUCAUGUCAUUAGAAUUACACAAUAUAGAUAGAGAUUAGACACACCGUUGCAGCUGCACUAUAAUUGCCAUUCUUCAAGACAGUAGUUGUGAUCUUCUUGGAAUUCUUAAGAUAUGACUUGAGUAGAGAUACAGGAGAAAAUAUUUUCGUCAAACCAGAUUCAGAAGCAAAAUAUACAGCCUCUAUCUCUUUCCCAUUCUUCACCAAUUCAUCGAUUAUAUCUGCAAAACAAAUUAUGAUUGAAAACGAUUACUAAAAAAGUGAUUAUAUAUAGAACAAUAUAUCAAAAUCAGAUUUGAAAUACGAGAAUAAAGUGAUGUUCCUAAGAAAAAAGUUUAACCCCAUAAACACUUGUUUGAACUCUCAGCUAAACUAAGUAUAGACAUAUACACAGUGAUAGUCAUAUCUUGAAACCAGUAAUAGGGAUCAUACACUACUUAACUACCUCUCAUGAGGGGAGGAAUGAGGCAGGUUUGGUUCAUAUGAACUAAGAAAUAAGCAAGAAAGAUAUUCUGUCAACUAACCUUAAAUGAUGGUUAGGAUUAUUACUCCCGGGAAUACAGAAAACUUUGUUAUUAUCUGAAGUCACAACACAGAUAAACUCUGCCUACCAAGAUAAGAGGUUUGCUAACAAAGUUGCAUGCACAAUUUAAAGGGGAACCAACCCCUGUUGGAAUGGCAAACCAAUAAAAUUAACAGACUUUUUUUUUCUUUCACAAAUGGUUGAUGAGAACCAUUGAACACUUAAAGAGUCUAGUUCACUUAAGCGUACAAAGAACAUUCUUCAGAAAAGGAAAUAAGCAGUUCUAUGCACAAUGAUGUAAGCAAAACCAAUUCAACUCUCGCAUGUCAUUUAUACAUUUAUUUGUCAGGGCAGUAUAGCAUUGUUUCCAUCACCUUGGUAAAGUCUGUUUUAUUUAAAUAAACUAUCACUUUCCAGGUGAUAUCAAUGCCAUAAGAUUGUACACGCUGGCUUUCGAAAGCAUCAGCCUGGAAACAUUAUGCAAAUACCCAAUUAACUUAACAAGGCCACACCAAGCAGAUGUAGUAGUACCAGGAUAGGACCUUGCAUUAUUUGUAAAUGUCAAAAACAUCAGAAACAAUUUCUAGUGGAACAAAAAAGCAAUAAUGCAGGUGUAGACACAAUUUUGAGCACCUGAAAUUAAACAAGCACGCGUGUACAAAUAUAUGAUUUUAUUAAAUAUAUGAAUGGGUACAAUCUCUACGUAAUAUAUUCUUUCAAAAGAACAAGACAAUCCUCUGAUUCUUCCCUUGGAUUUGAUGUAUGGUGACUUGAUUUAUUUGAGUAAUCAAGCCGAGAUUUGUGCUUUGCAAGAACGCGAAUUUGGGCGUGUAUUGCGAAGCGAGAUGUGGUGAUUUGAUACUUUAAAGAGUACCUUUGAUUCGUCUUCAAAGUGUUGCUAAAGAAUUCUUAUGGAGCGUUUAGGCUUGAUCCAACAGAGCUUAGCGAGAUUUGGUGAUUUGAUGCUUUGAAGAGUACCUUUGAUUUGUCUUCAAAGUGUUGUUGAAGAACUCUUAUGGGGCGUUUUAGCUUGAUCCAACAGAGCUUCGUUCUUUGUAGACUUCAAGCGUAGAUGAAGGAGGCUUGAGAACUCUUUGAGAGAGCUUCCUUGCUUGAAGAGAGAGAGAGACCGAGAGCUUCCUUGCUUGCAGAGCUUGUCUUGAAGGAAAUUUGUAUCUCCCGGAAUCCUCCUUCCUUUAGGUUGAGGCCCUCUAUUUAUAGAGAUCUGUAAGGGCUCUCAGGUCCUUUUCCAAUGCCACAUGGUAUAAUUUUAUUGGUUGAUAUUUAUUGACGGGAUCUUGCAUUUAUGAAGAGAUAUCUGAUGGGAUCUUGUAUUUAUGACAAGAUAUCUUGAAUAUCUCAUCCCAAGUGUCAACUUUUCAUUGGCCAAGAAAUAUAUGAAGGCUCAUUUAUUUUCCAUGUCAUUUAUUUCAAUUUUAUUUUAUCCUUUCUUUUAAAGAAUAAAAUAACACAAGGCGAAAUUUAAUUGGUAGAAAAUUUGUGUUUCUACAGAUGCCCCCUCGAAACAAGUUCACUUACUUUCAAAACAAGUGGGCAUGUCUCGAAAAAUAUGGUUGAGAGAGUUUUAUACUUUCGACUAAAAUUUGAUUUGAUCAUAUUAGAUUUUCACAAUAAAUAGAUAAAUCUUAUUGUGAAAUAAAAUAUGAUAGUCAAAAUUGGAAAUUUAUGUACCAAUCUUAUUGAAAUUUAUCAAAUCAAAUGAUAGAAUAUCUAAGUUUAAUACCUUAUUUGAAACAGUUGCAUAUUUGAGGACCAAACAAAAUUUAUCUUUAUACUCGAAUAGCAACCAAUACUUUGACCGGCAUGCAGGAAAUUUUUUUUUUUUUCAUCGGAAGUGGUCACUGUAACAUCUUGUUUUGAAGAGCUCAUUGUUCUGAAUCCAACGACGCAAUCCGUUCGUGAUUCCAGCUAGUGGUUAAUGAAUUAUCACAAAUUAAAGAUUUUGAUUCAUAUUCUCUUUCUUCUCUAGAUAUGCGUGCCCUCAUUGUUUGAUGAAUUAUUUGCUUGCUUCAUUCACGUUCAAAUGCUCUUUCCUUUAUAAUUCCUUGUAUUUUUAACCGAUUGAGAGCAAAGACUAAUCAAAUGCUUUUCAAGUUAGGAAAGAUAGUUUGCCUUUUCAACAGUACAGGAAAACUUUGUCUUGGGUAGCAUGUCGCAUCCUUUGUUUCCUGAAUGAACUGCCGAGAGAGGGUAAAUGAAGAUUGCGGAAUCGAACAGGAAUUAUCGCUUUUUUCGCUAUGACUUGAAUAGGAAAAAUUUGCAGAACUGAACAAGAAUUAUUGCUCUUGUUUCAUAAGAGGAAAAGCAACUUGCAUAGCCGACCUUUCUAUCACAGAAUACGAGUUUUUUUUUCUUCUUUUGUAAUCAGGCAACGGUCUAUAGUGUGGCUAUAAAAGGCAACUACAUUGUCUUUUUUUUUUUGUCACCAACUUAGCAGUCCUUCUGUUCCUUCAUUAACUGUAUAGCAUCCACCUAGCAGCUCAGCAUCACCGACGGGCGACGGUCCUAGCAGGUAUGCAUAGCUCUCCAGUAUUUGUUUUACAAUUGCAGGUUUCCUUCCUUUUGUUUUUUGUAUAUAUACAAGACACAAUUCUGAGUUUAUGCAGGUGAAGUAAUCUGUAAACUUUUAACCAAAGCUCGUAAAACAACCUUUAUUAUGAUCAAAUUAUCUUGAUUCGAACGUCUAUGAAAUUGGAAGCAACGUCUGCUGUAGGCGGAUUCACAUGAUUAUUCCUUUUUUACCAUUGUCAACACUGCAAUCUCAACUUGGAUUUCAACUGUGUGUAUAAUAAACCAUCCGUGGAAAAACUUCCAAAGUUUCCAAGGCUUCAUGAUGCGUGAGUAUACGUGAUCUUCCAACCAGUGGUCUAGAAUUAUGAUUUCCUUGUCCAUCAGGCGUGUUUACGGUUGAAGUUGCUGCAAGAGAUUCAACAUCCUUGUCAUCAAUGCUCUCUAAUCAUUGGCACCACAAAUUAUGAUAUACUAUCAGCCCUGAAUUUGAUGAGUUAUGAUAUAUAUGUUCUCCCAGCUCUGGAUUACAUUUGUGAAAGCUGCUAGUUCAAGGCGCCUCUUUUUUUUCACGGACCUAGAAUUCACACAUGAAGGCCAAAGCAAUUCUACCAUCUCAGUUCUACAGAAGUCCAUUUCACGUCAACAUAUAUAAUGUUUUUUUUUAAACGAGGGUGACCUUGCACUGAUUUGUCGGAUCCAAUGCUUCGUGCACCCAUGUUCUUCAUCCAGCUUCUUCUGCCAUUCAAGCAAUCUGGAUUUAUCCUUAGAUUCAUCAACGUAUGUUCUAUCUGAUGCUCUUUCAAUUUCAAUUGGUCGGGAAGACCAUGCAGCCUUAACUCAAAACCACCCGUGAUUGAUUGGAGCUCCUCAUUAGCAUUCCGAAGCACUUUCAUAUCUAUCUCCUUGUUUGCAUCAAUUCUAACAAGUACCUAAUUUCUUGUUCAACUCAUGCAUAAUGUCUUUUUUUUUUUUUUACGAAGUGCAUUAGUUUUCUCUCCUGAUCUCAGGUGCUUAUUCUUAGAGUGUGGAUUGGAAAUCCAUUCUCUGGUUCAGAUAGCAGGAGCGACAAGUCACUAACCGUCCUUGUAUAAUCUCUUAAAGCAUCGGUGACAAGAAAGAUAUAUGUCCCUGUAUAAUAUUUUUUUUUUGUAUCUAUGUCCUUGCAGAUUUUUCUUCAGCAAGUCCUGCCCCCUGAUGAUCAUAGUAAUAUUUUGCAUGGACUCACUUUCAUCUUCUCAUUGAAUUAACACGAAGCUGUUGCAGCAGUAGCGACAGAAUCAACAAAUCCUUCAGUCUUAAAAGUAGCGACAAUUUGCAGUUGUAGCUGCAGCUUCCACUCGUAGUAAAACACCAGCAACUUGUAAAGGAAGUGUUUAUUCAGACCACAUUUCAUCAUCAUCAUCAUCAAACUUUCCUCAGCAACAAGGCAGAACCCAACAAGGUAAUACACAUAUAUCUUUUGCAGCCAGCUAAAAAUUAUAUGCUUCUUCAUAAGGGCAACCAGGUCCCAGUAGUGACCAAUCCUCGUCUCCUCCAAUGGUGAAUGGUUCCCCUACAACGUCGAUUUCUAAGAGUACAGUGGAACUCCAAGGACACCCAGCUGCACAAGUAACAAAGGCGGCCAAUCAUCUCAGCAAUCCAAGAGCUCUGUUUUAGUGCCUGUGCAAAUUAAAUUCAUCUCCAUUUGGUGGAGAAAAAAUAUUCCAUCAAUCCUUGGUUAUCCUCACAACUCUUCUUCAUCAUCAGCAGCAACAUUAAUUAACAAAGCAUGCAUUGCAGUUGGCUCAGUUAAUCUACAUUAAUGCUUUUUAUGCAAGCUCUGUUGAAUACUAAACUCAAUCUAGAAGGUCAAGGAAGACAACCACCGGCCAGCCAGCCACCAGCUGUGACCGACCAGCCACCAGCCACCAGCCGCCUUCACACUUGAAGGUUGAAAUAUCUUGUUUUGAAUUCGUGUAUAAAUAGCAAGCUGAGCUUAUGCUAUUCUGUGUGGAGAGAUUAGAGAGAAACACUAGAGAGAAAGAGAGAGGGCGUGUAUUAAGCUUUUUGUGUUUGUAAGCUAUUUGUUUCUUGAAAUAAAACAGUGUGUUUUAUCCCCUCUGAGUGUUUCAAAACCACCACAAGUGGUUUCUCCCACCAACAAUUGGUAUCGGAGCCCCGUUCGUCAGAAAACAGAAGUGUUUUGGGAGAUAUCCGAAUUUUCAAAGUUGUCACAAACAAGUUUUUAUCACUCCACAGUGUAGAGCUCAUCCAUACGAACUCACUGACGCAAGAAUCAGCUUCAUCGGAGACGGAGGUAGCCCACACGCGCCUCCUGAAAGUUCUGUAACUGUAGCCCAGUCGCACCCACGCGCUCCAGAGGAAGAAGACGAGUGCCGUACACACGAGCCAUAUUCGAGCCGUGUAAGCCGAUAUCCAGCCGAGCUUCCAGCCGAGCUUCCAGCCGAGCCGAUCUUUAGCUGCAGCCGAGCCGAUAGAAUAUUCCACAGAAUAUUCCCGGUUCAACCCAGCGAACCGCCCGACGCCCAGAAUUGGUUUCUGGACCGGUUCACCCAUUUUCUGACCUGAUUUAUACAAAGUCAGACCGGUUCCCGACUAUUUAGACCAUUCCGGAUCGAUCUACAGUGUCCGUUUUGCCAAAUUCAACUCCCAGAAGGAGAUAUAGUCAUUAAAAGAGCAAAAUGACUACAGAAGGUACACAUACACUCAUCUCGAAGCUGACCAAAGACAACUAUGAUAGUUGGUGCAUCAGAUUGAAAGCAUUUCUUGGUUCACAAGAGUGUUUGGAUAUUGUACAACAUGGUUAUGAUGAACCAGAGUCCAAAGAAGCAGAAGAUGCUCUACAAGAGGCACAGAAGCAAGCUCUAAAAGUCAACAGAAAGAAGGACAACAAAGCAAAGACCAUCAUCUACCAAGGUCUUGAUGAAGAUAUAUUCGAGAUCAUAGCUUCCGCUGAAACAUCAAAAGACAUAUGGGAGGCUCUCCAACAAAAAUACAAAGGUGCUGACAGAAUCAAGAAGAUUCGUCUUCAAUCUUUGCGAGGUAAAUUUGAGUUAUUGCAAAUGAAGUCCUCAGAAUCUAUUUCUGAUUAUCACACAAGGAUUAUGGUGAUAGUCAAUCAGAUGAGGAGAAAUGGAGAAGCCAUCAUAGAUUCUCGAAUUACUGAGAAAAUUUUGAGAUCCCUAGAUCCAAAAUUUGAUUUUGUUGUUGUCGCCAUUGAAGAGUCCAAGGAAGUGGACAAGUUGACAGUGGAUGAACUUAUGAGUUCUUUGCAAGCUCAUGAGCAGAAGAUUGUAAAGCGAAAUGGAGAUAAGGCCAUCGAGCAUGCCUUACAAGCAAAGCUGUCUCUCAAGGACAGAUAUGAGCAAGGGGAGACUUCAACAAGUGGAUAUACCACUCAAGCAGGAAGUCAACAAUCCAGAGGAGGAUUCCAGAUAUUCCAAGGAAGAGGUUCUUGGAAUACAAGCUUUAGAGGAAGAGGUGGUAGAAACACCACCAGAGGAGGUCGAGGACAACAAGCAUUCACUCCUAGAGGAAGAGGAGGCGGUUACAAUAACCGUGACAAGAGGAAUAUCCAAUGUUAUAGUUGCAAUCAAUUUGGGCACUAUAGCACUGAAUGCCGAAGGAAAGCUCCGUUAGAGAUACGUGAGCAAGUCAACUAUGCAGAGAAGGAUGACAGAGAAGAAGCUGCAUUUCUUGUCCAACAAGAACUUGGCGAGAAACAGGAAAAUAUAUGGUAUCUAGAUACUGGAGCCAGCAAUCACAUGUGCAGCUACCGAGAGUUAUUUGGUGAUCUAGAUGAGACCAAGCAAGGUCUAGUUACUUUUGGAGAUACCUCAAAGGUUCCGUUCAAAGGUAAAGGCAGCAUCCCAAUCAAGUUGAAGAACGGCGAUUCCAGCUACAUGGCCGAUGUUUAUUAUAUCCCAGCCAUAAAGCAGAACCUGAUCAGCUUAGGUCAACUUUUGGAGAGGGGUUAUACUUUUUACUCGAAGAAUUGUCAUCUGACAAUUAGAGACAACAAUUGGAGAUUAAUUGCCUAUGUGAAAAUGUCCAAGAAUAGGAUGUUUCCUUUGAACAUCCAGUAUGAUGCAGCAAGGUGUUUGAGUGCCAUCACCAACAGUGAAGAAUGGCUCUGGCACCUGAGGCUUGGACAUCUGAAUUUCACGAGCUUGAAGAUGCUAGCAAGCAAGAAGAUGGUCAAAGGUAUGCCUCACAUUGAUCAUCCAGAUGAAGUCUGUAAGAGUUGUGUCCUCAGCAAACAUCACAGAUCCAGUUUUGCCAAAGAAGUCAACUAGAAAGCAAAGAGGUCACUGGAGUUAGUGCACACAGAUGUGUGUGGCAUAUGCAAAGAUCCCAGAUGCAAGAAGGAGAAAGCUCGAUGAUAAAAGCGAGAGAUGCAUCUUUGUGGGAUAUGGUGAGAGAAGGAUGGGAUACAAGCUGUAUAAUCCCAUCACAAAGAAGGUAAUCAUGAGUAGAGAUGUUAUCUUUGAAGAAGAUAAAUCUUGGGAAUGGACUGAUGAUGAAGAAGCAGUCAUAUGGAUCAACAUUGAUUUGAUCCUUGAAGGUUAAGAAGUACCAACAGUACUUGUCGAAGAACCGAUUGUGCCAGCAGCUGAACCACAAAGUCCGGUACACAGAUUCCCUGUAUUCAACAGGAGGAACACACCAGGAGCAUCAUCAUCAACACCACCAUCAGCAUCCUCAUCAGAAGAACCAAGAAGGAUGAGAAAUCUUGAAGAGCUGUACGAUGCCACUCAAGUAAUGGAAGAUACAAAUUUGUUUUGUUUCUUUGCAGAUAGUGACCCAUUAAGCUUCAAUGAAGCUGUCACAGAAGAGAAAUGGAUUAAAGCAAUGGAUGAAGAAAUACAUGUCAUUGAGAAGAAUGAUACCUAGAAGCUGACUUAUCUACCAGAAAACAAGAAAGCAAUAGGUGUCAAAUGGGUCUACAAGACAAAGAAAAAUGCAAAAGGAGAAGUGCAAAGAUACAAAGCCAGAUUAGUGGCUAAAGGCUACAAACAGAGAGAAGGCAUUGACUAUGGAGAAGUAUUUGCUCCAGUAGCCCGGCUAGAGACAAUCAGACUGAUGAUCUCACUAGCUGCACAACAUAGAUGGAAGAUCUAUCAACUCGAUGUGAAGUCAGCAUUUCUGAAUGGCUUCCUAGAAGAAGAGAUCUAUGUUGAACAACCACUUGGAUACAUUGAUGCUGAAAAUAAAGGCAAAGUAUACAAGUUGAAGAAAGCUCUCUACGGUUUGAAGCAAGCUCCGCGUGCUUGGAAUACCAGAAUUGACCGGUAUUUUCAAGAUAAUGGAUUUGAGAAAUGUCCAUAUGAACACGCCAUAUAUGUGAAGAAAGGAGCAGAUGGCAGCAUCUUAUUUGCGUGCCUGUAGGUUGAUGAUUUGAUAUUCACCGGCAACAACCCUACCAUGUUUGACGACUUCAAACAAAACAUGGUACAUGAGUUUAAGAUGACUGACAUUGGUCUAAUGUCACAUUUUCUUGGCUUGGAAGUAACGCAGAAAGAAGAAGGGAUUUUUGUAUCCCAAAGCGGUUACGCCAAAGAUAUUCUUGAAAGGUUCAAGAUGGAAAGAUGCAAUCCGGUAUCAACUCCAGUUGAGAAUGGAGUGGAAUUGAGGAAAAGUAAAGUUGGAAAUGUUGAUCCAACUUACUUCAAAAGCUUAGUAGGAAGCUUAAGGUACUUAACAUGUACCAGACCGGAUAUACUCUAUGGAGUUGGUCUUGUCAGCAGAUACGUGGAGACACCAGACCAGUCUCAUUUGAAUGCAGCCAAGAGAAUUCUUCGCUACAUCAAAGGCACAAUGAAUGAAGGUAUGUUUUAUACCUCAAGUAAAGACUUUAAUCUUGUAGGCUACUCGGAUAGUGAUUGGGGUAGAGAUUUGGAUGAAAGGAAAAGCACAACAAGGUUUGUCUUUUUCAUGGGAGACACAUCUUUCACAUGGUCAUCCAAGAAGCAAUCGAUUGUCACAUUAUCAAGCUGUGAAGCUAAGUAUGUUGCUGCCAACUCAGUCGUAUGCCAUUCAAUAUGGUUAAGGAAUAUGCUGAAGUUUUUGGGAUUUCCUCAAGAAAAUCCUACGGAGAUUUAUAUUGACAAUCGAUCAGCAAUCGCAUUGGCAAAGAAUCCAAUAUAUCAUGAAAGGAGCAAACAUAUUGAUACACGUCAUCACUUUAUCCGGGAACAUGUGAAGAAUGAAGAAGUCCAACUGAUAUCUUGCAACACAAAUGAUCAAGUUGCAGACAUCUUCACAAAGCCUUUGAAGAGAGAAGUAUUUAUCCGAUUAAAGUUCAUGCUUGGCAUGAUAUCUCUCGAUUGAGUUUAAAGGGGAGAUAUGUUGAAUACUAAACUCAAUCUAGAAGGUCAAGGAAGACAACCACCAGCCAGCCAGCCACCAGCUGUGACCGACCAGCCACCAGCCACCAGCCGCAGCCGCCUUCACACUUGAAGGUUGAAAUAUCUUGUUUUGAAUUCAUGUAUAAAUAGCAAGCUGAGCUUAUGCUAUUCUGUGUGGAGAGAUUAGAGAGAAACACUAGAGAGAAAGAGAGAGGGCGUGUAUUAAGCUUUUUGUGUUUGUAAGCUAUUUGUUUCUUGAAAUAAAACAGUGUGUUUUAUCCCCUCCGAGUGUUUCAAAACCACCACAAGUGGUUUCUCCCACCAACAAGCUCAAACACUUCAUGUAGCAAAUUCAACAAACGUUGCAUUAACCUAUUGGGUUUUAUCUGCGACAGUUGCAUCAGCAACGUGUGCCUUCUUUGCACCUUCAGCUUCUUUUUAGAUCCUAUCAGCCCAUCAUAUCGUUUUAUCUGAGUCCUCUGGUGAUAAAGAUGACAUGGCCUAUUGAGCUUUAUCUUCAUCUUCUUGAGAGUUUAUUCCGAGGUGCUCACUUAUGGUAGCCAUGUUCUCUAGGCUUAGAUACUUCAUCAUUGAUAUGAACAUUUGUUGUAUAGUUGGAUCCUUCAUUUGGUCCCUAUCUGUUCUUGCAUAUCAGAAGUUGAGGCAGGAAAGCUUGACGGAGGAAUAUUUCUCGAACUUGAAAAAGAUAUCCAAUGAGGAACUAACUCCACUGAUGCUACCAUUCUUAUUAACUGUAAAUUUUCCUCGAGUUUCUAUUGGUUUUGCCCCAGCAAAGGAACUUGAUCCGUCAGUGUUUAAAGCUGAAGCAACGGCUGGAAUUAAGUCAUUUCCUCUCGAAGAAGAUGCCAUUUCAAACAUUAAUUUUCUGAAGCACUUAUGGUGACAUCUUACUCAUUAUAUCACCUACUCAUGUUUGGAGGAACCAUACCAAAUCUGAAGCCAUUUGAAGCAUACUUUGAAGCUCUUCAGGUCAUCUCAUUGAUCAUAUUUGAGGUAGUCUUAAACGAACAUGUCAAGAGACAUCUCUCCAGCUUAUGUCGCGUUUUGAAACAAGAAAAAUCUUGACAUCUCUUAAAGACUUAUGCAGGUGACUUACCUAUAGCAAUAUUCCAAAUCGUUCUCUUAUGCACAACAACAUCUCAACGACUAGAAGGCAAUUUUUUUUUUUUUGCUUUGACAGUGAAGGUGAGCUUUGGAUGUUGCAGCGCAGCAAGACCGAGUUAGAGUAAUUCCUCAAGGCGUAUGAUGGAGAAUUUUCUUAAGAGAAAUCAUAACCUUCAGCAUUUGAGCAGAGAUCACCAUAUUAUUUUCUUUCCUUUAUGGAUAAAGGAUCAAGUCACAGCGUAUUUCAAAAUAUAUUUUUUUGUCAAAGAGGUUUUUUUUUUUUUGCGUGACUGUACUCAGAAUGAAUUCUGAGUUGCCUACGUACCUUUGUGGAUAAAGGAUCAAGUCAUAACGUAGUUCAAUUUUGUUUUUUUUUUUUUUGUGCCUUUCACAGUUUUAGCUCGUGCGGGCCAGGAGCUACAUCAGAUUUCAAGCAUAGUAUCUUUUCAAGAAUUUGCCGUUGAUAGGCCCAAUCCUCAAUCCAUUCUCAUCGACAAUUUUGUAAGCUCCAUUGGUGUAGACUUCUUGAACCACAUAAAGGCCAUCCCAUUUGGAGAGGAAUUUGUUGCCCCCAUCUUGGCAAUACUUAAAACAUUGGUGGAGCGUUGAGGAGAUGAUACCAUUUUCAUGUAUCCAUGGUCGUCCAAGUAGCAUAUUAUAAGUAGUUUUGACAUCUAUGACAUGGAAAAGUGCAUUGAACUUCAUAUCUUCCAUGUGUAUCGCAAGCCUUAUCUUUCCUAUGGCGUUUUGCCCUUCUUGAUUAAAACCUUGAAUCAUCAGAUGACUUGGGAAGAGUUCAUCCAUAGGAAUCCCCAGCUCUUUCAUAGUCUUAAGAGGUAGUAUAUUGACCGCCGAGCCAUCAUCCACCAAGAUACGAUUCACCAUCUUUUCAUCAACAUAUCCUUUAAUGAACGGCAACUGAUUAUGGAGUUUUGAUCCAAGCAACAAGUCUUCGUCGUUGAAGGAUAUCUCUGUUAUGCAAACACCAUGAGCCAAGUUUGAAGAGUGAGCAUGACUUUCCUUCAUGACAGGUUCAAUAAGAGUUUUCUCUUCAUCAAUAUGAUAGCAAGCAGCAAGUGCAUUUUCAAUCCUUCUCGUCUCUAUUGGCAUGUACCCAUCCAGUGUAACAAGCUUCCUUAGACUUUGAGCUGAAAAACCCUUAUUUUUAACUGGUAUGGAUUUUCGUUGAAUCUUUCGGCGUAUCGGCUCAAUUAGCUUCCUCACCGUCGAGAUCCUCAUUCUAGCUGGCUUUGUCAUCUGCAUGCGCCUCUUCCUUCCUCUUCUAUGUAUGACUAAAAUCCAUCCUUCGUCAUCAUAAUUUUCAGAUGAAUCAGGUUUCGAGUUGUCAACAUGAGGUGCGAGGGUUAUACAUGGAGUUUGACUUGAGGAUGCAAUGAAGCUCAUAGGCAAAAUGAUUCCAAGCUCUAUAGGUUCAAAGGAGCCAAAACUUAUUGUAGGGAGUGACUGGCGUGGUCCUAAAUUGACCAUGGUUGUGAUAUUAGAGGUUGCUACUUCAUCAUCGAAAACGAUAUCCCCAUUCUCGUGUAGCCUCAUGAUCUUAUCUUUCAGCACAAAGCACUUCUCUACGGGAUGACUGAUCAAGCAAUGGUAUUUGCAAUAGUUUGGAUUGUCCAUUUGGUUUGCUUCAUUGGGGCGUUUCACCUCCGGUAACUCAAUGAUAUUUGCCUCAAGCAAAUCAUCCAGCAUCCUAGAUAUGUCUGAGUCGGGGAAUGGAUACACCUUUUCUUGUCGCUCUUUCAUGGAUGGUUUCUUUAUUUCACCUUUUUGAAAAGUAGCCGAUGUCGCCCGAUCAUUCCUCUUAACUCCAGCUGGUACCCUUAUUGCAGUCGAGUUAACUACUAAAGAUUUAUUUCCCUCGACCUUUGAAGUGCUCUUUUCAAAUCUAUGACCUUCAAGCUUAUUUCUCAUUGGCUCUUGCAUAGGUAAUGAUGAGCUUUCAGCCGCCGCAAUGCUAAGUUCCAUGUCGUGUGCUCGAGUAGCCAAUUCUUCAAAAGACUUUGGUUUGAUACCUUGUAAAAUAUAGCGUAGUCCCCAAUGCAUCCCUUGAAUACACAUGUCUAGCGCUGAAGUUUCGGUGAGCCGAUCUCUACAGUUGAGGCUAAGGUUUCUCCACCGAUGAAUGUAGUCAAUGACAAGCUCUUCCUUCCAUUGACGUGUAUUAGUGAGUUCAAUCAUGCUAACCACAUGACGAGUGUUGUAAAAGCGGUUAAGAAACCCGCGCUCUAGUUGCUCCCAAGUAUCGAUCAAGCCAGACUCCAAGUCAGUGUACCAAUCAAAGGCAUUACCUUUCAAGGAACGAACAAACUGUUUUACCAUGAGAUCGCCCUUAGUUCCGGCAUUGUUGCAAGUCUCCACAAAGUGAGCUAUAUGUUGCCUAGGAUUUCCUUUGCCAUCGAAUUGUUGAAACUUUGGUGGUUGAUAGUUCGGAGGCAUCCUUAGCAGGUCAAUUCGUUAGGUGUACGACUUUACAUAAGAAUAUGAGGGUUGAACUGAGCUUUCUACUUGGUCCGUGAUGGCUUCCUUGAUAAGUUCUUUCAGUUGAUUCAUGGUAAAAAUACCAUCAGUAAUACCGUGUAUAUUCCUUGCAGCUCCGAUUGUAGAAUCCUCAAUGACAUCUAAUUGAUCUACUUGUAAAGCCUUGGUAGCCGAGGUUUGGCCUCCUUCGUUCAUGCUCUUAAGCUUGUUCAUCAACUUUGUUAUAUCGUGGUCUUUUGGCUUGAGUGAAGUCGAAAGCCCCUCGACGAGUUUUGUCAAGGUAGCCACUUGAUCCUCUAAAGAUGUUGUCUCGGUCAUCAUCACUGACAUGGUGCCAAAACCCGAAGCCUUACUUGGUGAUUGACGCGAAGAAGUUUCCAUGGGUGAAUUGUCGAAGUCGCCUUGAGUGCCGAAGAGAAUUUCGCGCACCCCACUUGACUCUUGUAGUGGAGUUGCUUGUGGCUUCAUCUUUGAGGUGAGAUCCUAUGCCCCUCUUGCAUUCGAAGUUGAUGUCAACUUGAGAGUUGGCUUAGUUUGAUCAUACAACUCGACGAUGGAUUUUGUUUUCAAUGGCGGGGUUGAAGAAUCUUCAAUAGUAUGUUGGUGACUUGAAUCAGUGGCCUUGUUGCUUUUCGAAGCGACAAUGGUGAUCAUGUUCCUCCUAGUUGUCAUUGAGAGUUUGUUGAAAAUUCUUUCUUGAAUGGAAGAGAUGAGAGGUAGAGAUUUCCCCAGUGGAGUCGCCAGAAAUUUGUAGACACAAUUUUGAGCACCUGAAAUUAAACAAGCACGCGUGUACAAAUAUAUGAUUUUAUUAAAUAUAUGAAUGGGUACAAUCUCUACGUAAUAUAUUCUUUCAAAAGAACAAGACAAUCCUCUGAUUCUUCCCUUGGUUUUGAUGUAUGGUGACUUGAUUUAUUUGAGUAAUCAAUCCGAGAUUUGUGCUUUGCAAGAACGCGAAUUUGGGCGUAUAUUGCGAAGCGAGAUGUGGUGAUUUGAUACUUUGAAGAGUACCUUUGAUUCGUCUUCAAAGUGUUGCUAAAGAACUCUUAUGGAGCGUUUAGGCUUGAUCCAACAGAGCUUAGCGAGAUUUGGUGAUUUGAUGCUUUGAAGAGUACCUUUGAUUUGUCUUCAAAGUGUUGUUGAAGAACUCUUAUGGGGCGUUUUAGCUUGAUCCAACAGAGCUUUGUUCUUUGUAGACUUCAAGCGUAGAUGAAGGAGGCUUGAGAACUCUUUAAGAGAGCUUCCUUGCUUGAAGAGAGAGAGAGACCGAGAGCUUCCUUGCUUGCAGAGCUUGUCUUGAAGGAAAUUUGUAUCUCCCGGAAUCCUCCUUCCUUUAGGUUGAGGCCCUCUAUUUAUAGAGAUCUGUAAGGGCUCUCAGGUCCUUUUCCAAUGCCACAUGGCAUAAUUUUAUUGGUUGAUAUUUAUUGACGGGAUCUUGCAUUCAUGAAGAGAUAUCUGAUGGGAUCUUGUAUUUAUGACAAGAUAUCUUGAAUAUCUCAUCCCAAGUGUCAACUUUUCAUUGGCCAAGAAAUAUAUGAAGGCUCAUUUAUUUUCCAUGUCAUUUAUUUCAAUUUUAUUUUAUCCUUUCUUUUAAAGAAUAAAAUAACACAAGGCGAAAUUUGAUUGGUAGAAAAUUUGAGUUUCUACAGUAGGUCAUUUUAAAACGAUUUGGAGCAUAGGCACUUCAACUCUUAGAGCAUUAUCCUCGAGUUCUUUAGAAACAAAAUAAAGCGUUUUUGGCAUAAUUUACAUAGCAUUUAGAGAUACUAAAGCUGUGCCCUUUCAGAUUCACAGUAUCAUAUCUAUUAAUCAUUCAAAGAGAGAGAUUAUUACGUCCUUUGAUGCCAACUAAUUAUGCAAUGAUCUCAUUUACAACAAUGAAUCUCACCAACAAAAAAGGUAUAGAACAAAAGGCAACACCCAAAAGUACAAAAUAGUAGCGAGUUGAACAGAAAAACCUUGCAACAAAUGUCACUGACAUUCUUAUGAACUGACCACAUAGAACAGCAAUUACCACUGAAGAACAAGUAACCCACUGAUCAAAUUAACAUCCUACAUACCUCCCAUUUUCUCUCCAAAACCAAUAGCAGCUGCAAGCUUCGCCAUAUCCCUCCUUGACGCACUCUCUGCCACAAGCUUCCUCAAGAACUCCUCAUCAAACCUCGACUUCAGCCCAAAUCCCAACACCAUUUGCAAAAACAUUACCGCCUCCAACUAAAGCUCAUCCUAUGCAUUCAGCAAAGCUAGAAUCCCUUCUUCUAGAGACAUUAUAUCAAGAAAACUUAUUGCAAAACAAAAAACCAACAACACUACGUAAGUCAUGUUUUUUCUCACCAUUAAAGUUAUUUAUUUGUAAUAGAUUAUUUUAAGUUUUACAUUAAAUAAAAAUAACUUUGAUAAAUUAAUUUUCACAGCUGUUAUUCAGGUAGUCUUGUUUUUAGAAAUUUUUUGUUUUAUUUAGCUUUAGGUUUUUUUCAUGCUGCUUAAAGUUAGUUGGAUUUGGGUUACUGAUGUACAUCUUAGGUACAUUCUUCGUGUUUUUUUUUUAUAGUUUUUCUCUUUAAUAUAAUUACACUUAAAAAAAAAUAUUCAGAGAACCAUUGUUUCAAUGAAAUCAACUUUAAAAUCAUUCUAAAUAUAUGAAUAUAGAAGAUGUUUGUGGGAAACGUUUAAGGUUAAAUAAAUAAUAUAUAAUUUGAGUUAAUAUAUAGUUUUUUAAAAUUUUAAAAAAUAAUUAAUGUAUGAUUUGACUAUAAAGAAAAAAAUUACUAGGACAAUGAAAAUGAGGGCUUGUUUGGAAUAUGUGGGAAAACUACAUUGCAAUUAGGUAAGAAUAAUGCAAGAAAAAAUUAUAUUAUUAUAAAACUAUAAUAUUUCAUUUCCUUAUCUUAAUUUUGUUUAUUAAAUUACUAUACUAGGUUGUUGCGUGAUUUGUGGCAUGAUGUCCCUAGAUAUGCAAUGAACAGAGCCAACUUUGAUGACAUAGCCUUGUGGAAAAAUUUUAGACCGAGACACGUCCUAAAAGGUAAUUGGGCUAAGUUUCAAGAAUUUUUGGCAUUAUAUGGUUUUAAAAAGUGCUCACAAUCUAGAUCUUAAAACAAAAGGAAAAAAAAGUCAUGGUUCAAUGAACAUGUACACUUGAGGAGCACUUUUCUUGGUGAACAAUGCAAAGAGCCUAAUAAGAGCAUUGCUAUAUAUUUAAUUAUUAAUUUAGUCUUUAUUUGUGAGAUUUUUUUACAAAUUAUUUAUUGUACAGGAAAAAUAGUUUUGGUGCAAACAUACUCCAAUGGAGUUAUAUGAGGAAACUCAUAUAAGGAAAGGGGAUAAGAAAAAAGGGUGAAAAAGUUUAUCGAUAAUAGAGUGAAAGAGUUCAUUGCAAGUAUUUUUGGAAAGUUAUAAUUGUAUUACUAAUGUUUUUUUGAAAAGGUAUAAUUCAAUUUUGAAUUUUUUUUUUGUUCUGACAUAUACAUAUAAUGUCAACAUGGUUGCUAAACAUGAAGAAGACAAUUACAGCCAUCCUUCUCACAAUCCUCAUUUGUGGUCGGAGGCUGGAGCAAUUGAUAGACUUGAUAAAAAUUGAGUUUAUGGUAUGCAUAUAGCAUUAACCCAAGAUACAAGGGUGAGUCAUAGUGUUUUAAUGGUAGGCACACAACAUUCCGACUUCAAACAUCAUCUGCCAUUGAGGAGAUGGUUUGAGAUAGGAUUCCAUAACAAUUGGCUAUUGAGUUGCACAAUAUAAGAGCGUAAAUAAUGGCAAAACUAAGAGAAGAAAUAAGAGCAAAAAUCAAACAAGAAAUAAUAGAAAAUGAGAGCAAAUACGUGUAUAAUUGGCUUUAUAUUUUUCUCCCUCUCCUGGAGCUUAUAAAUCAGGAUCUUUUUCACCCCCUCCACCUUUUUAAAAAUUUUAAUAUGUUGUCAAUAAAAAUUUCAUGUAUGGAAUUCUGUUUAAUAUAAUUAUUGUUUGUGUAUGGAAUUCUGUUUAUAAUAUUUUUAAUUUUGUUGUUGUUGUUGUUGUGAGUUUAGUGUUAAUAAAAAAUGCAUAUGGGAUUAUAAAAACUAAACAACACAAAAAAAAAAAGAGUAUGAAACACUAACAGAACCACCAAAAAAAAUUGCAUUUUUUUUAGCAAUAUUUACUCACAUUUCAUUGAAAAGUUACAUAAAGUUUAGGUAUUUCCGAUGGAAUCGGUGAAGGAGUAUUCCAUUGGAAAUUAAAGUGUAUUUUCAUUGAUAAUUUCAGCGGUAAUAUUUGUUUCUUUUUUUUUUUGACAGACUUCUCGGUGAAAAAUGGGUGAUAAAAUCUAAUGUUUUGGCGUGAAUAUUUCAUCGGCCAUUCCAUUAGAAAAGAAAGUUUAUGAUGGAAUCACCGGUGAAACACAAAUCUCUGAUGAGAAACUUGUUGAUGGCAUGUUUUCGUUGGGAAUUUUGUUGAUAUUUAAAUUGCUGAUAAAAUUUUUUCUUAUACACUGAUUGUCAGAAUAUUCUGUCAAUGUUUUUCAAAUUUCUAUUAAUGAUUUUGUGUUAAUUCUAGUAGGAAACACUAUAGCGCUUAAAACACAAAAAUCAUCAUGCAAAAAAAAAAGGAUAAAAAUCGAAUCUGCAAACGAAAGAUCAGGGAAUAUGUAACUUAAUCAGCAAACCGAGUAUCUAAGCACAAGAACUGGAAGCAAGCAAUUACAAAACUGAAUAAAAAAGCAUGGAAAAUAGAGGUAUGAUAAAAGGAUUAUUAAAACAACCUUAUUGGAUGCCAAUGUAAUAUGUAGACUACUUUCUAACUUAGUAUUAAAAUUGAUAUCAAUUAUAUAAACAGUAAUAUAUAAAGUAUAACUUUUCAAAGCACAAAGGGAAAGUGAAAUCACAAUUAAAACAUAGAAUUUUUAAUGUAAUUUUUUCUUAAGAAAACAUUAGGCAUUGUACUCCGAUUGAAUAUUCAUUAUAAAUUUUAAGAAUAUUAUGAAUAUUAUUUUUAUAUAUAGUUAUAUAUAAAGUAAUUCCUAACAUACUAAAAAAAAUUGGAAAAUACAGAUGAAAUAUUUCGUCGGUAUAUAGAAAAGAUUAUGUUGAUGUUGAAAAUUGCUAAUGAAAACGAUGAUGGAAUACUACUGUCGAAAACUAACUCGUUAUAUUUUUUUUAUUUUAUCGGCAAUUUUGUUGGCAAUUUUAUAUACUAAUAGUAUCGUCAAUAGAAUAUUUGCACCUAAAAAUCAUAUUUUACUACCUAUUUUUCAUCAAAAAAUACUUUGGAAUUGGAAACUGCCAACGAAAUAAAAAAAAUUAAAAAAAUUGAAAGCUAUCUCUAAUUCCAUCACCGUUUAUUUUUUUUAUUGAAUAUUCCAUUAAUUAGCGACUUUGUUGAAAAGUUCUUACAUAUUCUGUAAGUUUUACCAAAUAUUCUAGAAUGUUUACGAACAUUCCGGUGGAACUGCCAUCAUAAAUGCCGAUGGAAUAUUGAUUCCAUUGAUGAUUCUGUUGGAGUUUUUAAUUUUUUUUGUUUUGUUUGUUAUGAUCCUCAAUCCAACAAUUGCUUACAAUAAACUUACAACCACAACAAAAGGCAUCUUUAAAAAUUGACUUGUACAAAUUUUGCAACAUAUAAUAUUAAAUGGAUAACGAAUACUUAUGUGAUUUCAUAGUUGGAAGAUUUAAGUAUGAAAUUUAUAUGAAUAGUACACAAAAAUGAGAUGAAAAAAUUUCAUGCAUAAACAUUAACAAAAGUAGAAACAAUAAAAAAUAGCGGUAGGAAACUAUUCAAAUUUCAAUUGAAAUAUAAUCAAAUCAACAAGAUGAAGUAUAUCUAAUACAUCAAAUCAAAGGUGUUGAAGGUUCAGGAGGUAGAGAAAAAGGUACACCAAUAAUUGCACUUAGUUGAGCCCAAACAUUCUAUUUUAUUAUAGCAGUUGUGCACUCAUCUUCUCCAACUCAACAAUCACUUAUUCCUAAACCUUUUUAUGCACAAUCUAAUCAAAUUCCUAUGAUGAAUAGCUUGGGUCGACAUAUGAUGUGUCUAGAGUUGAAACAGUGCAACCCUCCAUCAGUUCUUGGAUUGAUGCUAUAAGCAAACAAUAAAUUGGAUUCCUAUUAGGUCCAUCACUUGUAGCAGCCUCUAAUCACACUUGAGGAUGUUGAGGAUGAUGGGUAGAAAUUUUUUCACCAGAUUUCUCAACCAUGUUGGCAUUAUAUCUCUCCUAUAAAAAAAAUCAAGUUUUAAAAUUCAAUUAUAUUUCAUAUUAUUAAUGCAAAUAAAUAAUCUUAAAAAAAAUAUAACUAUCAAAAAACUUAUAAUGAAUGCAUCCACUCUUUUAUCGAUAAAUGUUUUUCUCUUCUUCCCCCUAUCACCCUAAUUAAUAUGAGUUUUCUUAUAUAACUUCAUUAGGAUUAGUUUUCGACGAACUUUUUUUCUUAAAAAUUAAAUAGUUUGUUAAAAAUCUCACUAAUAAACACAUAAUUAAAAUUGUGUGUGCGCGUCAUAAUGAACUCUUACUACGUGCUUUGCAUGAUGGAUAAACAAAAUUGCUCCUCUAGUUUGCUUGUUCAUCGAAGCAUAAGUUUGUUUAUUUUGAUUUUGUUUACUGGAUCUUGAGCAUUUUAUAAAACUUUAUGAUACCAUAAAUCUAAGAUACAUUAUCCAAUGAUGGUCUAUAAUAUACUUUAGUUUAUACCUUUUCCACUUCUCUAUGUCAAGUGACCCAACCUUCUUCAUUGCUCUUGCAUGGGCAUUGUACCAAAACAUCUCGCAACCUGGUAUAACCAAUAGUUAAUUCUUCAAAUGAGCAUUUUAUCAUAAAUAUGAUGAAAUGAGCAGCUUCAAGAUUAGAAAAAUAUACAACAAGAUUAUCUAACAACUAUAAAUAACAACAAGAUUAUCACCCUAAUAUAAUCAACCAAACACAUUAGGGAGGUGAAAUAACAAACCAUUAUGUAAAGUAAAAUUUAGAACUAAUAACUUACAAAUACUAAAAAGAUAAUAAAACAUAACAAUAAAAACUUUAAUUUUUUAGGUGAAAUUUAGAACUAAUUUUUUUUUAUUAAAAAUGAAUCACAAUUAACCUAAACAAACCAACUAAUAAUUCACAAUUUUUUUUUGGCAUAAGGCAAUAACAACUUAAUAACCCAUCAUUUUUUAAAUCCCAAAGUAACUUAAUUCCUCCAAUUUAGAAAAAUAUAGUUCAUAAUCCAAUAACUAUCAAUCCCUUUGUAGGUUGAAACAUACUUUAACCCUAAUUUUUAUCAAUUCCACACAAAUUCAUUUUUUUCCUAAAAUUUCAACUAAACCAUAAAAUUGUCAAAACAAUAAUUGUUACCCCUUAUUUAUUCAAUUCAAGAAUAAAUAACAUCAAUUAAUACCUAAUUAUUAUCAAUUACACAUUAAUUUUAUUUUCCCUAAAUUAUCAACAAAAACCUAUAUCAAAUUAAAUUAAUUGGAACUCAACUAAUUAUACAUUAUUUCUUUAAUUCAAACUUAUUCAACUUAAAUUAAUACCUUUAAUUAUUAUCAAUUCCACUCAAAUUCAAUUAUCCCUAAAUUUUCAAUUUAACCAUAAUAUUAAUAUAAAAAUAAUUUGCACCCAUUAAAUUACCUAUCAUUUCUUCAAUCCUAACACACUUAAGUUAUAAAAUCACACUCAAUUUCAUCAAGUAACAAAUUAAAUUUAUUUACCCAAAUCUCAAAUAAACCCUAAAAUACAAAUUCUACAUUGCUGCAUAAGACACACACACACACACACAAAUAUAUAUAUAAGUAAGUAAAUUACAAAUACUAUAAAUAAAUUUCAAUAGAUUAACUUAAAACAUAAAUGUGUGGGUUUGCUUACUUGGUAGAAUGAAACUUGACAAGAAAAAAAACCAAGAGAGGGAAGUUUAGGUCUUGGGAGAGCUAUUGCACUAGCAGAGUUUUGGUGGCUAAAUUUAUAGAGGUGGGUGGAGGUUUUAGGGAGAGAAAGAGAGAGGUGGAGGUUUCAUCUUUAAUUUUUUUUAAAGGAUAAAAUUAUUUAUCCAUUUUGUGUUUGAAUUAGAACUAUUACAUUUUUCUUCUCUAAAAUCUCAGAUGGAAUUUUUGUUGGCAUUUUUGUAGGUGACUUUGACAUGUUAGAAAUGUUGACAUAAAUUCUUUUUUUUAUUUUGUUGUUGUUUCCAUAAGAAAUUACUAACAAAAAAUUCCCAUCGCAUUUUCCGUUGGUAAAUUGUGAUGGAAUAUUUUUCGUUGGCAUUUCCAUUACUUUGUUUGAAUUUUCUUGUAGUGACAUUAACCUUAAAAGCUUAUAAUUUUAUUUGAAAAGUAUGAUACCAUCAUAUAAUUUUAAAAAUAUCAUUUUGAUUGUUUUAUACAAAAAUAAUUUUCUUUUAGAAUAUUAAAUAAUAUAAAAACAAGAAAAAGGAAAGAGUGAGUAGAGUCAAGCCCAUGCAUGUAGACUUGUUUAAACGGAUUGUCUAGUAGCUUGCUUUAAAAAAAAAAAACUCAAGCGGAAAACACAUCAUCCACUUUAGUUUUUUUUUUUUAAUAAAUGGGUUUCAUAUUGUGACAUCUUAUCCACUAUCAAAAAAAUCAAGAUUUGGGUCAUUUGGAAUCUAAAACAAAAUAUUUCACCUAAAAACAUUAGUCUUAAAACUCAAAAUCAUUAGAAAAAAUCUUAGAAAACUUAAUAACUCACUUUUCAGCCCCAUAACACCCUUUAAUUAGUCUAAAAACUCAAAAUCAUACAAAAUCAAAACAAACUCUAUGGGUUCUGAUCUACUUUUUCUAAUAUGAUUAAGGUUGUGUUUGUUUUGCAACUGCUUUUGCAGUUGCGGUGCAACAAACACAGCAAAGUGUUUGGUAACAAACUAAAUUGCAUUUUGUACCGCGGGACCCAUUAAAAAAUUAAGUUUAAAACAUAGUUUUUGCGAAGCAGUUUUUACAUGUUUUUUUAACUGAGUUUCGUAAAACCCUGUUUGUUUUUGCGUUUCAAAAGCGCUUUUGAAAAAAUUUAAAAAAAAUUUAUUUUUUUACUUCAAAUUAAUAUUUUUUGUGUUUUCAGAUCAUUUUGAUGUGCUGAUAUUAAAAAUAAAUUUUUUAAAAAACAUUUGAUGCAUUUUCAAGUAAAAAGCACUUUGAAAAACAACUGCAACCACACUUCCAAACAUUUUAUACAUGUUUUUUGCUACACAUAAACCUCAACCAUAAUUUUUACCAAACACGUAUCUAAAUCCAACUAACUACACUUUUUUAAACUUAUUUUUUUAAAACCACAACCACAAAAUUUACCUCAAAAACAAACACACUUCCAAAACACAUGUUUCGAACUCCUAUAUUUAAAAUGGCCCAUUGACACCAUUAUUAGCUUUUUUUUAUCCGAAUAUGGCUAGCCAGCCAAAAUGUUUCUCUUCUCUCCCUUUCGAUUACUUUCUCUCUCAUUUCUUAAGGUCAAAGGACUGAAACAUGAGGAAAAUAUAUUUGUUAGGAUUGAACUACCAAAACUAAAUACUACAAUAAGAUAUACAUAAAAAUUAAAAUUUCAAGGAUUAAAUCAAAUAUUUUUACUAAAAAGGCAUUAUGGAUGCACUGUAUCAAUCCAUAAUAAACAUAUGAGAGGAUCUAUAGUAAUUGAAAUAGUAAAACCUUUAGUGUUUUUAGUUUAUUUCAUAAUUAUAAUUCCUAUUCCUAUUAAAUUAACCAUGAAAAUUCUUGGUGUUUAUAUUUUUUGAAUUUUUUAUUCAACUAUUAUUUAUUUUUACUAUAUUGGUAUUGUAAAAAAAUAUCUCAACCCAAAACUUUAAGCUAAUAAUUAAAUCUCAAUGAAUUUUUCAUAUUAAUGUCUUGUGCACCCUAUUAAUUACAAGUCUGUUAGACUUAAAACUUAUAUAUACCCACCAUUACUUUAUGUUUAUUCUUUAAAAUUUAGUUAGAGAUAAAAAGAUAGUGAGAAUGAAGUUUUUGAUUGCUUUGUCAUUAAAAUUAUGAUACUAAGUCUAAAAAUCAUCUUAAUCUAAAAGUUUCAACUGUUAAAAAAAAUUUAUAUUGAGUCAAGAAAAAUUAGGGAGAAUAAUAACUUUUCUAGUGUAAGGAUAAUUAUUUAAGGUAAUAUCCCCUAAUUAUUAAUGGUAUACUAUUAGAGUAAGAAUGGUAAUGCCAAGUGAUUAUCUAGAGAUAGAAAGUUGUAUGAGUAAUUAAUGUUUCCUACCAACUAUACAGUAAAUGGGUAGAGCAAUUUUGGAUCGGGUAUGCUUGUCCAAGUCUAUGUCUUUAGGAAUAACCUUAUUCAGGCUUAUUUCUUCAAGGCAUGUAUAUCCAAGGGUGUAAUAUUGUUUUGGGAUACAAGUUUUAUCCAUGGUAGGUACUCUUUUUUGUAAUAUAAUCUCUAUUCAAGACUAACCUCUAUUUAUCAAUUGGGAUACAAGGUCAGUCUGAGAGGAUGUGUGGCUAGUCCAAUCUAAUGGAUUUUAUAAAGGCCUUGAAUUUCAUCCCUUAUUAAUUAAUUACCUCAUGUUUCAAAGUGAUGUUCACUUAGACAUAAUAAUUUUGUUUUACAAUGUAAUUUAAAAAGAUGAAAGCUUUGGAGAUGCAACUCAUCAAGUUAAAAUUGUUCGACUCUCUUGUUUUAUUAGCCAAAGUGGUUCCUAAUCGGUUAAAUAACAAUGAAAUGUUGCCUACGAGGUUAUAUUUUAUUCUAAUCGGUUAAAUAACAAUGAAAUAUUAUUUUAUAUAUUAGUUGAAGAGGAAAAAAAAAGGAAGAAUGCUAAAUUGUUUAGUUUAAGAGUAAUCAUCUGAUGUGAUAGGUUUUUAUAAUUGGCGGUGAGCUAUUAAAUGAUAAAAGUUAUGUAAGGACCAUCCAUUAAAGCAUUAAAGAUGGCGUGUCUUGACGUCGUCUUUUUAAACUCCUAAAUAAUUAUAAUAAAAAUAAUAAUAUUUAUAACAUAAAUAAUAUUAUUUUUUAUUUUAAUCAUUUUAAUUAUAAUAUAAAUAAUAAUACUUAUAAUACAAAUAAUUAUAUUUAGAAACUUAAGAUUCAAGAAUCUCGGGUCCUGACGCUGAAUCCAAGAGAAUUGGGUCUCGAUGCCGGACCCAAGAGCAUUGGGUCCUGAUGUAGGACCCAUUAGCCUUGGGUCCUGACGUCGAACCCAAAAGAAUUGGUACCUGAUGCAUGACUCAAGGGAAUUGGAUCCUCACGUAAGACUCAUCAAUCUUGGGUCGUGCCGACAGACCCAAGAGCUUUGGGUCCUGACAAGACCCAAUGGAUUUGGGUCUGCACUCUAGCCACACCUAAGUUUCUUGGAUGAGGCACCCAUUUCCAGUUUCAAGUUUCUUGGGUCUGGAAGGGGAUGUCUCACCCCAAUUAAUAAUAAUAAUAAUUAAUUUUACCCUUUAAAUCAAUUUUAUGUUUUUUUAUAGUAAUAAUAUUUAUUACAAAUUUAAUAAUAUUAAUAAAUAUAAUAAUAUUUAUAGUAUUAAUAAUAAUAUUAAACUCGCCUACUCAAGUUCUUAUAAUAUUUAUAACACAAAUAAUAUUAUUUUUAAUAUUAAUGCUAUCAAUUAUAAUACAAAUAAUACUAUUUUUAGUAUUAAAAUUUUUAAUUAUAAUAAAAAUAAUAUUAUUUAUAGCACAAGUAAUAAUAUUUUUUAUAUUAAUAAUUUUAAUUAUUAUAAAAAUAAUAAUAUUUAUAAUACAAAAUACCUAAGAUCCAAGAACCUUAGGUCCUGACGCUGGACCCAAUAGAAACGGGUCUGUAUGCUGGAUCCAAGAGAAAUGGGACCCAACGCUUGACCCAAGAGAAUGUUAUCCUGAUGCAGAAUCCCUUAGCCUUGGGUACACACGUCGAACCCCUGAUAAUCGGGUCCUAGCGCAGGACCCUAGGCUAUGGAAUCCUAACGCAGCAUCGAAGAUAAUAAUAAUAAUAAUAAUAAUAAUAAUAAUAAUACAAAUAAUAAUAUUUUUAAUAUCAAUAACGUUAAUUAUAUUAAAAAUAAUAAUAUUUAUAAUAUAAAUAAUAAUAUUUUAAUUAUUAUAUUAAUAAUAUUAAUUAUAAUAAAAAUAAUAAUCUUCAUAACACAAAUAAGAAUAUUUUUUAUAUUAAUAUUUUUAAUUACAAUAAAAGUCUUGAGUCCUGACGCAUGACUCAAUAGAUUUGGCUCCGGACUUAAUGCUUUUGGGUCCCCGAACUUAUUGGGUCCUGUUGUGCAAUUGGACCCAAAGCUAUUUUGGGUCCUAUCACCAACAGGACCCAACUCUAAUGGGUCCUGCUGGGGGCAAGAACCUAUACAUAAUUUAUUUAUGUAUUUAAUAAUAUAUAUAAUUCAAAACUACUGAAUAAAAAAUCUAAAGACAAUAAAAUAUUGAUAAAACUUUGAAUCUCAUACACUAAUGUUAUAAAAUUAAAAUAUCUUCUAUUACCCAAAAUAAUAUUAUAUUAUAAUAUUUAUCCAUUAUUUUUAAUGGAUUUUAUUGUUCAAAAAUUCUCUUAUAUAAUACAAAUAUAUAAAGUAUAUGAUGUGAAUCAAAAAUUUAUUGAGAGCUCCAUCAACUUUAAUAUGAUAAUAUUAGAUAAAAAAUUUAAAAAGUUUCAAAAAAAAUUUCAAAGAAUUUUUGAAACACAAAAACAAACAUGUUUUAAUAAGAAAAUUCAACACAAACUCAAAUGGAAAAAAAAUAUUAUGACCAACCAACUUUUAAACAAUAUAAAAAAACUCCCAUCAAUUUAUUUACUCUUUAAUUUAUGAAAAAUAAUUACAUGAGAGAAAAGAAAAAAAAUUUUAAAAAAAAUUAUUGAUGGGUCUUAGUAGCGUUGGGUCUAGCUGGGCAGCAAGGCUCAACAUCAUUGAGUCAUGGUUGGCAAAAUGACCCAACAGUGUUGGCCCAAAAUAAUAUUAUACUAUGAUAUUUAUGAAUUGUUUUUUUUAAUGGAUUUUAUUGUUAAAAAAUCUCUUAUAUAAUAAAAAUAUAUAAAGUAUAUUAUGUGAAUAAAAAAAUUAUUUAGAGCUCCAUCAACUUUAAUAUGACAAUAUUAGAAUUAUAAUUUUUUUGAAUGCUUUAUUUUGAAAAAAAAAUCAAGAGGAAACAAAAUAAAAAUCUUAAUUUGAAAUAAAGAAAAAAAUAAAAUUUUUGAAAAGUAAAGCAUUUUUGUACAAUAUAAAAAAUAAAAGCAUUUUUGAAAGGCAAAAAAAACAAACAUACUUCAAUAACAAAAUUCAACCCAACUUCAAAUGAAAAAAAAUUCUCAUCUAUUUAUUUCCUCUUUACCGUAUUAAAAAGAAAAAAAAAUAAAGUCUUAAGUUCUGCUGGGGGCAGUACCCAACUCUAAUGGGUCUAGCAGGACCAAACAUUGAUGGGUCCUGCUCGUAGCAGGAGCCAAGGCUGAUAGGUCUAGUGGUGGCUGGACGCAAAGCUAUUUUGGGUCCUUUUGGUGCCAGGACCCAACUCGAAUGGGUCCUGCUGGGCAGAACCCAACUUGAUAUAUUCUCUUGGGUGUGGCUGCAUAGCCGGACUUAAUCUCAAUAUAUUUAAAAACAAAAUUAAAAAAACAUCAAAAAUAUUAAUUUGAAGUAAAGAAAACAAUAAAAAAAUUUCAAAUUUUUUCAAAGCAUUUUUGAAACACAAAACCAAACAUACUUUAAUAAGAAAAUUUAACCAAACCAAAAAUGAAAAUUUUUUUUAUCAUCACUCAACUUUUGUAUAAUAUAUAAAAAAAUCACAUUAAUUUAUUUCCUCUUUACAGUAUGCGCGCGGGCUUGCAGACCUGCUUGUCAGGUCUUCAGCAAGGCGUGCAGAUUUACCUAGCGCUCAGGGCAUGGCAGCCCCAGCGCCAAGUGUUUGCAGCCUGGUGUUGCUGCCAGGCUCUCUAGCUGGCCCUAGCGCCAGAUGUCUGUUACCUGAGCGCUAGGUAUCUGCAGCCUGGGUCGUGCUACCUCGCUAAAAUCUGAACUGAUCAUUUUCUCCCCAACCAAAUAGACAACCUCAUCCCCUGCAGUCUUUGCAACUCUAUGUGGUAAGGGCAGUUCAUGUCAUUAUAUCUCUCCAACCCAUAAUGCUUUUAGCAAAGAGCAAAUUCAAAAUAGUAUACUCUACAGUGAAAAUACUCACUAUCUAUAAUAAUUCGCGCUACAGUACUAAAUAAUGUAAUUCACAAUAAAAACAAUUACAGUAUGUAAUAACUCUUUUUAUAAUAAAAUAUAAAUCUCUUUCAGUUAUAGUUAAUUUAAGUACGUCAAUUGUGGUUUAUUGAAUGAGUUUUAUUAUAGUAAUAUGUUCAUUUGAGGUGACGCUUUCUCUCAUCGAGAGGUUUGUAUCUUUAUUUAUUUUUAUAUCUCUUAUGUUUAUAAUAAAAUAUAAAUCCCUUUCAGUUAUAGUUAAUUUAAGUACGUCAAUUGUGGUUUAUUAAAUGAGUUUUAUUAUAGUAAUAUAUUCAUUUGAGGUGACGCUUUCUCUCAUCGAGAGGUUUGUAUCUUUAUUUAUUUUUAUAUCUCUUAUGUUUUUGUGAAAUAACAAUCAUCACAUCAAGGGGGAAGACGAACUAAGGACGAAGAGGAGGAAGACCAGGGGACUGAGAGCAAACCGAGAGAACCAGAGGACGAACGGAGAGAACGAAAAGAACAGAGAAAACCCACGAACAGAACACAAUAGGGGAACGAAACACACAGAACACACCAGGAGGAGCGAACUGAGGACAAACUGGGAAAAAAAAAAGCAGGGGAAAAACAAGCAAACACAGAGAGGACGAACGACCGAAAAAAACCCAGAAAAAACAGAGACGACCGGACACAGAGGAGACACAGAUAAUACACAGAGAACACUGGACCAAAGACCACAAACAAAAACACAGACGGAAGAACAGAGAUAAUACAGAGAAGACGAGCAAAACAGAAGGCCACAGGAGAACGAAACACACGCAGAACACGGGACGGACAGGAAGAAACCGAUCAGAGAAAAGCAAGAACAGAGGUGAAAGCAGAGGAAGAAAGUAACUAGUCGACCAGUCCUCCAUCACGUCUUCAUCUCCAGAACUACCAGGUAAGUCUCUUCUCUUCCCCGAUCUUACAAUUUCAAUUCACUUAACACUGUGCACUUUGAAUUUUAAUUCACUCAUCACCGUACACGCACGAUACUUGCGUGCCUAGUUACCAGCCGGGUCCUGCCCAGCCCAUACAGGCUGAGCUGGACCCAUCCAAAAAGAAAACUCUAGGCCUGGGUCUCAGAUCCAGCCGGUCUAAUCCUCUUUAUUUUAUUCUCUUUCAUUUUGAUAUCUGAUCAAUCCAGCUUUUGUUUUAUAUUAAAAAAAAUAGUUUGAACCUUUUUGAAUUUAUGUAUAGACCCGUCGUGUUUUUUUUAAUAGUAUUUUAUUGUAUAUUUGAUCUAUAAAUGUUUACUAUAAAAUACAAAUUUGAUAUUCAAUAAUUUUAUUUUUAAAAAAAUAUAUAUAUGCAUUGAUUUAACUUAAUUUUACUGAGUUAUUCACUAAUCUUUGAGCUAGAAAUACUUUAUAUUUUUGUGAAAUAACAAUCAUCACAUCAAGGUAUUUAUUAGACUUUUGGGAUAUUUUAGUAUUACUCUCUUCUUAAGUACAAGUUUGUAAUUCUUGUUACUAUAUUAUGAUAUGAGUAUAAUUGAUUUCGGGUUUAAAUAUUGCUCUUUCUUUGUUAUAUCCUCAUUUUCGAUUACAGCAAAAUCCUGAUACCAUUUUCGCAUGUGGAAUAGGUAAUUGGCUAAACUAGGUUAAAUAUAUGUAUUAUUUUCUCCUUUAUAUUAUGAGAAUUAUUUUUGAAGAUUCUAUUCAAAUUCUUAACAAACUAGCAUCAAUUGUUUGCGCUAAUAAAAUUUAUGUUAAUUUGAUAUAUUUAUGCAUAUAAUUUAUUAAUUGAUAUAAUACUGUUAGAAAAUAUAUUAAAAGUCAUAAAAUAUUAUUUUAUUUAUAAAUACAAUACACAAACCCUUAGUUAUUCUUGGACCCGGAUAUAAAAGAAGGACUUAACUUGAGUCUGAUCCUGUUUGUUUUUGCAUUUUAAAAAUAUUUUUGAAAAAAAUUAAAAUUUUUUUUAUUUUUUUUGCUUUAAAUUAAUAUUUUUUAGUGUUUUCAGAUCAUUGAUGUGCUGAUAUUAUUAUUUUGAUGCAUUUUCGAGUGAAAAGCACUUUAAAAAACAACCGCAACCACACUUCCAAAUACAUUAAAAAUUGACAAGACGUUAACAGCUUGAUUUUGACUUGAAUUUAAACAUUUAUAUAUAUGCUCCUAAAUAAUUGUAUUGAGAAAAAUUAUGUAGCUAAUGUACGUUUUCUCUCACUGAUACUUUAAUUAGCAUAUCUCUUGCAUGCAUGUUUUCUAUGAAUUCUUUAGUUUGCUUGGCCAAAUAACAAGACAUGUAAUUACCACUGAUACAACCGCAGCAAAGUUAAGUCACUCAAGAAGAGAUCGAACACUCAACCGACAUUAUACAAUCUUCCAGCACGUUGCAACCUCUCUAUGCAAUUAAAAAUAGAUAUGCCGAGACCAGUACAUGAUCAGGAGCUUGAACGAUGGAAGGCAGUUAAAUUCCCAGUUCCGAAGCUUGCAGACUAUGGUUUUUCUGAGCCAAAUAAAAUACUGCAGAAGGAGUUUUAUACCUAUGCAAAGGAAGACAACUUCAAUGCCUUGUUUGGUCUCUUGUCCGAUAAACUGGAACAUGUUUCAUCAGAGGAAGUGCUCAAUGUCAUUUUCAAACAUGUUGCUGCCUCUGGAAAUUCACUGCUUCAUGUGGCAGCAAGCCAUGGAAGCGAAGGUGUGACACAGCUACUGUGUCAUCACUUCCCCCUCCUAAUCACCAGGAAAAAUUUCCUGGGUGAUAAUGCGCUUCAUCUGGCUGCCAGGGCUGGACGGUUUGACACAAUUCAAAAUCUCGUCAAGCAUGUGAAAAUUGAUCCUCAUAAAACACUUGAACUUGCUAGCUUGCUGAGGAUGAAGAAUAAUAAAGGAAACACCCCUUUGCAUGAUGCAGUCAUCAAGGGUUGCCGAGAGGUGGCCUGUUUCCUCGUUAAUGAAGACCUAGAAGUUUCCUACCACAAGAACAAGGAAGACAAGUCUCCCUUGUACUUGGCAGUAGAGAGAUGCGACGAGAAGAUGAUUGUUUCUCUUAUAGAAGCUAUGCCGGAUGGAAAUUUAGGUAAUCACAUGUUUUCAUCAUUUGGACGUGAAAAACAACAUGUUACACUUAUAAUUAUUGGUCUCAUUAAAACUUAUUCUUCUUAAUUUCAUUUUAUGUAAAGCAUAAACUUCCUGCAUUUUGUGUUUUUUGUAUUGAUUAUCUAAUUUUUAAAUUAUGCUGCACUAGAAAAACUAGCGGACGGCAAGCCGGAUACAAUGCUUCCCGAGGACAAAAAAGGGGGAAGUCUCCUUCAUCUUGCAGCAUCCAUGGGCUUCCUUUUUGGAGCAAGACUCCUGGUUAGUCGAUGUCCUGUUGCCGCAUCACAAAGAAACGAAGAAGGCAACUUACCUAUCCAUGUUGCAUGCCAGAAGGGCCAUCUUGAAGUAGUACGCGAACUACUUACUUAUUGGUUCGAUCCAAUGGAUUUUCUCAACGAAAAAGGACAGAAUAUUCUUCAUGUUGCAGCGGAGAGUGGACAGAUGAAAUUAGUGGAAGAAAUACUGGGAAAUCGAGAUCUGGAAGCACUUAUAAAUGAGAAGGAUUACGAUGGAAAUACACCUUUGCACUUGGCUGCAAUGUAUGGCCGUUCUGAGAUAGUGCAGGCACUAGUGAGAGACAAGCGGGUGGAUACAAGGAUUGUUAAUAAUGAAAAGUUGAAACCAUCUGGUGUUGUUGUGAAAUUAUUGCAAGGCGGACGCUUUGAAGCUCCAAAGUCAGAUGGAAUGGUAUGCUUAUAUGCUGAGCCUUUUCGAAAAACUGACCUUAUGGUGCCAAUUAAUGGGCUUGCAAUUGCUCUUGAACAUCACGGGGGAUCAUACUCCAAAUUAAUCAUCAUAUAUACUUGCAAAAAAUGAUAAUGAAAAGGACAACCUUAACUGAUUGCAAGAAAAUACUUUCAAAUUCAGUUUCGAAUAUAUACUUACAGAUUAAUACUGUCUUUGCUUGUCCUUGCUCAGAACAAGCUAAUCGAUACCAAGCAUGAGGAUGAUGCUGCGAGAGGUGUAUGGAACAAUUCGCAGGAAGCAGAAGUUCGCAAAAUGGUAAGAUUUUCGGUUUCACAAACUUUCUUUCUUUUAAGUCUUGGCAUGUGCCUAAGUCCUAACAUCACAAAGGGUUUUCAUUGCUCAAUCAUAUAUCUUAAUUUUAACAUUAUCAAUUCUAGCAACUUAGAUUUUAUUAUCAUUUACUAGCACCAUGGAAUCUCCAUCAUAUUCUUUGUAAGUAUCAAAACAUUAUUUCUUUAAAUAAAUAUGAAGGCAGCAUGCAAAAUCUACAAUCCAUGAAUUUUUCAAAACCUUAUUACAUUUAUGAUCCAUGAGAACAUCAUCAUCUUUGCUCCCAUCUUUCAUGGUAAAUUACAGGACCACCUCCCAUCACCAAUGCCUCGUUACCUUUGACAUUGUUUUCUAAUUUCAAAAUCUAUCAUUCUCCAAUAAGAUUAUAGUUGCAUCAUUUAAACCUAAAGGUAUCCUUUUAACUAGUAUUGUUUGCACCAAUGGCUUGUAGAAUGAGGUUUCGCUCUUUAUCCUCAAUUGUUUUCUAGUAUUGACUACUUGAGUUGUCAUCCUGUUAACUCUUGAAAGAUAGUUGUGUAUACCCAUUCCUUCAUCCAUCCUCAAGAGUACAAAUCUAACUUCAAAAGAAAACGAUUAAUCAUGGGUCUUCAAAAGCAUAAAUACUCUCUAGUUUUUUCCAUAUGCCAAUAAGAUAACUUCAUUAAUUAUCCAAUAAGAUAAUGGUCGUAACUAUUAGGUACUUUACAAACCAAACGAAACUAAAAAAAAGCAAUGUUCUAUAACCCACAAAGCCAAAACAUAAACAAAAGUAUGUGUUUCUCUAUGUAUUCCUUACUUUGCCAAAUGAUCUGUGGCAUGAUUAAUGUCACUAAGACUAUGUGCAAAGUUCACAAAAACAAGAAUUUAAAAUGUUAUUGAUUUUGUCUUAUAAACAUCAUAAUCUUAUAUGAUCUCAGUCACAUUUGAUUCUUUUAUGAUCUCUUAAAAAUCCAUAGAGGGUUUUGGUUAGCCAUUUAAAGAACCAUUCACAUUUCACUUUAGGUGGCAUCCAAGUCAAAUUAUAUUCUAGUUGCUUUGGUCCACAUAAGAAGCUAAUCAGGUGAUUGAAGUAAAUAUAUUCUAGUUUAGCAACAACUUUCACAUCCACAUUUUGUCCAUGUUGCAACUUUAUAGAAAAGGGAGUGAUAGAUUUCUUUUAAUUACCUUAAAUUUGAUUAAUCCAAAAAGGAUAUAAAGUUCUUUACUUGCUCAAAAAUAUGGAAUAUCUCACUGAUCUACUAAAUAUAUAGCGAUGAAUUACUUCUUCGUUAUUAUGGGACAUUAAUAAGCUAACAUUGUCAUGAUGCUUUAUAUAAUUUGUAUACCAUAUAUUUUCUAAUUAACAUUUUGUUGUUCAGCGUAAGGUAUUUAAAGUUUUGGUGGAGGCAGAUGAUAAGACUGAGUUUGACAACAAUCUUAUCUCUAAUUUAACAAGAACGACGUUAACGACGGAGGAACUGAACAGAGGGGUAGGGAAUCUUCUCGUGGUGGCAGUACUGGUAGUUGGAGUAACCUUCGCUGGUGCUAUCACUGUGCCUGGAUCAUGUCGUGAUCCUAAAAGUGGCAGUUCAAAAAAUCUGAUGAGAGCUUUUAUUUAUUUUGACAUGCUAGCUAUGAAUUUCUCCCUCAUCGCCGCUAUAAUCCUUUGUCAGAUAUCAUUAGGUCGUGCCAGUGAUGUAACAUCAAGCAUGAAGAACGCGACAUAUUAUAAUUUUUACGCCCUUUUCUGCAUGGGUAUAGCAUUUACAUUCAUCCUGCUAAUCACGGUGCAAGAACAUACUGGAUUUUUCUUAACCAUCAUCACAUCGCAUGCCUAUCUUUUUUUUAUCCAAUUAGUUUGUUCCUAUGGAUUUAUGCUUUCAACUGCAAAUAAAAUAAGGUCUUUCCUGCGUGCAAAUCCCUUUAAAUUCAUGGCUCGAAUGAAAAGAAGGAUGGAUGUACGGACUUCUCUUAUGGGUAGAGAAUAGGAUCACAUCCAGUUCAAACUGGAUAGCUUGCAAAUUAACGGGAGGGCAUUUUAUCUUGUAUUUAAAUCUCAUGUAAUUAAUUUGUAUCUCUUGUAACAAAUAGAUAAGCUCUUUCUCUUCUCUCUUGUAACCACUCUGGUUAUAUAUGAAGCAGAACAUACAUGUCACUGGUGUGUCUCUUCAGAGUUCUUUCAUGUUGCAGGGUACUUGACUUUCGAAUUCUUAGCACUAAUAGUUUGACAACAACUGGUCGUGGACCUCAGCUAUGAUGUGGGGUUGGAUUCUUUUUCUUUCGUAUAAAAAAAUAAUGUUAAGUGUUGUAAAAUGUGUUCUAAAGAAAAAUACAUGAUGGACUAGAAUAGAUUAAAUAGAUUUGUUUUAUUUUAAUUAGAUAAUAAAAAAAAUAGAUAAUAAGUUAGAGCAUAUAGAACAAAUUAAAAAAAAUGAUCAUGAUAAUCUGAAAAAAAAAUCAAAAGGGAUAAAUGAUGUGAUUCAAUUUCUAACCUAUUGAAUAUAAAAUGAUGAAAUUGGAUAGAAUAAAUAGUCUAAUUCCCAACUAAUCAAAUGUUAAAAGUUAAAAAAAAAAAUCAGUUAUACAAAAAAAUAAAAAAAAUAACAAUUGAAGAAAUAAAGAUCAAAAUUAAAAUAAAAAAUAAAUUUUAUUUUAGAUUAAAGGGUGAAAUUAAAAAGGAAAUUCAAUUUAUCAAAAGAAUGAAGACUAAAUUGAAAACAUAUCAAAGUUUGAGUCUAAUUUGGAUCAAAAUUGCAAGGAAUUAAAGUUUAAGGAUGAAAGUGAAAAGAUGGGGGUUACUGUAAGGAGCUUAAUUGAUUUUUCCAGGGGUAAUUUUGAAAGAAUUAAAAGUUGAAAAGUUAAUUAAGGACUGAAUUGAAACAUUUAGAAACUAAGGACUGUUUUGUAAAAGGCGCAAACAUCCAGGGGUCCAAUCACAAUUUAUCCAGGGGGCGAUAUUAAAAAACAAAAAGAGGGAAUUUCCUGUUUAAGGGGCUUGAUCGCGAAAUCUCCAAACUUCAGUGACCAAACCGAUAGAAAAGCAACGGCGCCGUUUCCAAACGAGCUGUUCAUCUUCCUCAACGCCUCAGCUGCCCACGAUGCAAUACGUUACUGAAACGUAUGGCAUUCUCUGGCUAUAAAGCCAGAGAAAGAAAGGCCUCCAGGAGGAAGGAGGAGGACGAACUAAGAACGAAGAGGAGGAAGACCAGGGGACUGAGAGCAAACCGAGACAACCAGAGGACGAACGAAGAGAACGAAAAGAACAGAGAAAACCCACGAACAGAACACAGCAGGUGAACGAAACACACAGAACACACUAGGAGGAAGACCAGGGGACUGAGAGCAAACCGAGACAACCAGAGGACGAACGAAAAGAACAGAGAAAACCCACGAACAGAACACAGCAGGUGAACGAAACACACAGAACACACUAGGAGGAGCGAACUGGGGAAAAAAAGCAGGGGAAAAACAAGCAAACGCAGAGAGGACGAACGAACAAAAAAAACCCAGGAAAAACAGAGACGACCGAGUAAUUCCAGGGGUAAUUUUGAAAGAAUUAAAAUUUGAAAAAUUAAUUAACGACUGAAUUGAAACAUUCAGAAACUAAGGAUGUUUUUUCCAGAGGAGACACAGAUAAUACACAGAGAACACUUGACCAAAGACCACAAGAAAAACACAGACGCAAGAACAGAGAUAAUACAGAGAAGACGAGCAAAAGCAGAAGGCCACAGGAGAAUGAAACACAUGCAGAACAGGAGACGGACAGGAAGAAACCGAUCACAGAAAAGCAAGAACAGAGGUGAAAGCAGAGGAAGAAAGUAACUAGUCGACCAAUCCUCCAUCACGUCUUUAUCUCCAGAACUAUAAUGCAGGGGUUAACAUUUUCAGUUAAGUUUAGUUUUUAUUUAAAAAACCAAUCAAAUUAAAUUUUUAUUUUUUUUAAUUUAAAACUAAAACUGAAUCAAAAUCAGUUCAACCCGAUUAUUUUCAGUUCAAUUUGGUUAAUUAAAAAAAAUGAAAAAACCGAUAAUCUAGUUUUGUUUCAUAUGAAGAGCAAGUUGAUGCCAAUAACAACAAAACGAAGAAGAUAGAUGAUAAAUUGAUUAGUCUAUAUGGCAAGAAUUCCAGCCUGUUCAAGUGCAAAAUAAUAAUCCUAACCAACAAGAUUUCCAUUAACUCAUAAAAAAACCAAAACAGUCCGGAAAAUCCAUGAAUCCAAAGUAGAUAAAAGAAAAGCAGAUCCCUUUUAUGCAAAAGCAUGUGGAAAAAAUGCACAUCCCUUUUAUACCAAAAAAAAAAAAAAAAUCUAUCCCUUCAUAAAGUGUUCAGUGUUCACAUAUCAAGAGUCAACACAAAUAUAGUGAAAGAGGAAAAGAUUGAAAUUUUACGGUAAUGCUGGUGUUGAAAGUUUUGAUGAUAAUUGUUUGAACUUCGAACGCUUGAAUUUUGAUCUAAAGAAUUAGAGAACAAUGAGAAUGAGAAUGAGAAUUAGAGAAGGAGAGUAGUGAGAAAGAGAGGGGCAACUUGAAAGGCAUUUGGGAGAGAGGAGGCGACUGAGACCUGAGGGUGAGGGGUUGUUAAGUUUAGGUUUAGGGUUUCCUUUUUUAGUGGGUUUAGAUGUUUGUUGAAUCGGUUCAAUUUGGUCCGGUUCAAUCGGUUUAAGAUUUUAGAAACCGAAAUUAAAUCAAACCGAUUUUUUUUCAGGUUUUUUAGUCGGUUUUUUAAUUUGGUUUUUUGGUUAAUUUUUUUUGGUUUGUUCGGUUUAGUCAGUUUUUUGGUUUUUUUGCUUACCUCUACUACGAGGUACAUGUUGUAAAAUGUGUUCUAAAGCAUAGAGAAAAAUACAUAGAGUGUGUUUGGUAUUGCGGUAGCUGUUGUGGUUGUGGUUUAAAAAAAGUUGUUUUAUAAAAAGUACUUUUAGUUGUGGUUGAUUUAAAAAAAUAGGUGUUUGGUUAAAACUGUGGUUAAAAUUGAGGUUGAAGAAAAAGUAGUUUAAUGUGUUUGGUUAAGAAUGUUUUUGAAAUCGAGGUUAUAAAAUAAUUUAAAAAAUAUAAAUUAAUAUUGAUGGUUUUUAAUUUAAAUAUUGUGGAUUUAACUAUUGCGGUAACAUCAUGAAAUAAAUCAUACUUUAUAUAAAAAAAAAUUAUUGUUCUAUUAAACUAUCUACAAUUCCAUUACGUACAAAAUUUAUCUGACAAGAACUACAGUUUCCAUAAUUUUUUAGCAUGUAAUAAAAUUAGAUAAAAUAUUAUCAUGUAUAAAAUUCACUCUAAACUAGUUUUUUUAAAAAAAAAUUAACAAAAAAAAAUCCACGCAGUGCAAGUGAACAGUGCAAGAGAAUUGCACUGUUCACUAUUUUUAACAUGAACAGUUAUAGACUUUGCACUGUUCAUGUUAAUUGCACUGUUCAUGUUAUAGACUUCUGUGUUUGCAUCCACUUUGCACUGUUUAUGUUAAUUGUACUGUUCAUUGAACAGUGCAAUUAACACCACAGUGCAAGAAAAGCAUGUUACACUUGCUUCUUCCAAUCCUGCGUUGCAAACACAGAAAGUGAUGGGCCCCAUGAACAGUAAUUAAUGGUUUUUUCUUUACCAAAUGCUUGCCUCCUGAGUUUUGAUUAAAACGCAAACUCUACCGCGUAAACAAACGGUCUCUAUAAUAGACCAGUUAUAGACUUAGACUAGACUAAGUAGAUUUGUUUUAUUUUAAUUAGAUGAUAGAAAAAAUAGACAAUGACCUAGAGCAUAUAGAAUAAAUUAAUGUGUUUGUUUUCCGGAAAGUGAUUUCUGAAAAACUACUUUCCAAACUUUCCUGUAUUGGUUUGUCAUUAGGAAAGUUGGUCAACGGAAAACACUUUUCGGUCAAUAGAGAACACUUUCCAGUCAAAGAAAAAUUUGACUUAGUUUCUAGGAAAGUGUUUUCCUUUUAUUUUGGGUGGAAAACACUUUCCAGAAGUUGUAAAAAAUUUAGAAAUAUCAUAUUAUUUGUUGAUUAUAUCAAAUUUGCUCCUCAAACUUUUGAUUGCUAUAUAUAUUUUGUUUUGAAUAUUUAUUUUUCAAUUUCAUCCCUUAGAAUUUAAUUUUUAUAUUAAUUUUGGUCCUCAUUUUUAUAAUUGUUAUUUGCUUUUCCCUUAUCAUUUUUUAAUUGAAAUUUUUUUUCUAUCAAAUUUGAUCCUCAUUCUUUUGAUUGUUACUUAUUUUAUUUGAAAUAAUUUAUGAAAUGUUAAUUAUUAUUAUUUUAAUUUCUUCAUCUUUCAAUUUUUUUAUUUUUUAGAUUUGAUCUCUAUUAUUUUGAUUAUUAUUUAUUUUAUUUGAGAUAAUUUAUGAAAUUAUAUAUUUUUUUCAAUUUCAUUCUCAUUCAACUUUUUAAUUUGUAAGAUUUGUUACUCAUUAUUUUAAUAAACUUGAAAAAAAAAUAUUAAUAAGUUAUUUUCUAGCUUAUUUUCCAUGACAUAACCAAACACUGAAAAGUAUUUUUCAACUUAUUUUUCAUUACACUACCAAACAUCAAAAAAUAAUUUACUUUUUCAGAAUUUAAUUUAAAAAAAAAAAUACUUUCUAUCCAUACGGUAGCACAUGCAUUACUGGUUCACAUUCUUUUAUAGCAAAACUAUCAUUACUUUGUUUCAAUAAAUAGUACUUAUUAAUCCACAUGAACAGUGUUUUUCCAAAGAGUAUUAGUUUUGGUUGAUGACCACAAGAUGCGAUUAUUUUGUUUUGGAAACUCAACAAACUAUAUAUUUUAUUUAUUUAUCAGCCUCUAUAAACUAAUAAUUAAUUAUUAUAUUAUUUUGCAUGCAUAAAGAAAUACCCGAGUAAAUCGGCAUAGACAUGAGAUUCGAAGCCCGUAGAAUUUAACAAGGAACAGGACAUGUAAGGACCUGUUAAUAUAACACUUUAUUUUUUUUUUCAAUCUCCAGGGUGUUAUCUAAAAUGCUAGGGAAAAAAUAAAAUAAUAGUUGAAGUAAAAAAAAUAAUUAACAAAUAAUGGCUUUACUAUGUUACACAAAAAUAGAUUAAAUAUCAAAAUUAUGGUAUAACAAGAAAAAGGCAAAUUUUUUUAUUUGCAUAAUUAUAAAAUAGUUUCGUUAUAAUUCAAGGAAGGAACUACUUUUAUUAAACAAUAAUAAUAAAAAAGAAACAAGAAGAAGUGAUGACUAAAAAUUAGUUUUCACUGCUCCUAAUUAAACAAGUGGUAGUGAUUAUUAGGGAACGUUUGGAACGCGGUUUAACCCGUGUUCCUAAAAAAUUUGAAAUUUUUUAUUUUUUGCUAAAAUUUAAUAUGAUUUGUAUGUUUUGGAUCGUUUUGAUAUACUGAUGUCAAAAAUAAUUUUUAAAAAAUAAAAAAACAUCAUUGGCAUGCAUUUUGACACGAAAAGUUAUUUGAAAAGCACCCGCAACCACACUGCCAAACAAGCUCUAAAUCCAUAGCCCAACGCUACGCCACAAGUUAAAUGAAAAAAAAAAUAUAUAUUAGCUAAUAAAAUUGUCCGAAUAUUGCAAUUGUGCUCUAAAAAAGUUAAAAAUCUUUGAGACAGUCAAAUAAGCUGAUAACAUUCAAUUAGAUGAUAAAACAAAGAAGGGUAAAUAGAUUGAAUCAAACAAAAAAAAAAAGUUUUGAUGAGAAGUUAUAAAAACAUCAACAAAAAAGAAAAAAAAGUGAUGGAGCUUAGUUCCAAGCCAACCAAAUAUGAAAGAUUGAAUUCGGAGAAAUAAAAAAAAACUUAAAUCAAUCUCAGUGUGCAUGUGAAAGUUAUAAGUCGGUUUAUUAGACUAGGAUAAGCAUAUAAAAAGCAAAUAAAAAAAAUAAAACCCUAUUCCUAAAAACUUAAAUGUAGAAAAAUAAAAUCUAAAGGAAAUCAAUUUAGAAUAAUGACAGGGAAAAAAAAAGAAACACCAACAAACCCAACAAGCUUACCAAACCUUAUGAUCCGGAUUAUGAGAAUGACAGAACUCAAUACAAAGCAAACUAGAAAAAAUUACGAAACUCAAUUCUAAAGGGAACCAAAUGUUCAAGGAUGAAACUAAUAAAAUUUUAAAUUAAAAAAGUAACGACCCAUAAAAAACUCGUCUAACCUGUGGUCUUGGUAAUGAAAUUAGGAUAACUGAAUUGAAAGAAAAAAUAGAUAAAUCAUGAAGAUCAAUUUUAAAACAGAAAUUGCAGGAUGAAAAUGAAAAAGAAAAAUUGUAUUGAGAAAAAUAAACCCUAAUAAAUAAAAGAACAAUGUUAACCCAGGUUCAUUUUUAAAAUAUAUGAUUUGGUACAUAAAACAAUGAUCACCCUAUAAAAAAAACACAGAACAAGAACUCAUUAAUUAAAAAUAGAAAUUAAAAAAAUAUGGACCAAAUUGAAAAAUAUAAUAAAAGGACAAGCCGCAAUUUUUAUUGAAUGAUGAAAUUAAAAAUAAUUUUUAAUUUUAGAAAAGAACCCAGAACAAGAACUCAGUAAUUAAAAGAAGAAUGAUCGAAUUUGAAAUAACAAUAAAAUAAGGGAACAACUAUGAAAUUUAAAAUAGCUAUCGUGAAUUUUGAGGAGAAGAGAGGGAAAAUAAGGAAAGAAUAAAGAAAAUAACACUGACGACACACCACCGAGAAUUAGAAUACAUGUGCCACCCCUGUAGGAAAGAAUACUGAGAUGCAUGAGCUACCCUAUCAUCAAACCCAUGGUCCUAGUAAUGAAAUCAGGAUAACCAAAUUGAAAGAAAAAAAAAUCAUAAAGACCAAUUUACAAAAAAAAUUAAAGGAUGAAAAUGAAAGCUAAAAAUUGUAAAAAAAAAAUAAAACUCAAUAAAUAAAAGAACAAUGUUAACCCGAGUUAAUUUUUAAAAUGUAUGACUUGGUUCAUGAAACCAUGAUCAUCUCAUCAAGAAAAAACAUGGAGUAAAAUUCGUAACUAACCACAUGCUGAAGAAUUACAUUAAAAAAAUUAAUUUUACAAAAGGCUCUAAAAAAAUAGCAACCAAAAGAAUAAGAAUAAAAUUAGAAAUAAAAACAAAUUAGAGGAUGAAAUUGAAAGCAAAAUUUAAUUUCACUAUAGAAUCAAAAACUAACAAAAAGAAUUAAAAAAUAUAGAUCAAAUUUGAAAAAUAAAAUAAAAGGACAAAUUGCAAUUUUUUUAUUGAAUAACAAAAUUGAAAACAAUUUUACAUUUUAGAAAAAGACCUAGAACAAAAACUUAGUAAUAAAAAAGGGACCAAAUUUCAAAUAAUAAUAAAAUAAGGAGACAACUAUGAAAUUUGAAAUGGCUUGCAUUAAUUUUGAAGAGGAGAGGGGGAAAAUAGAAACAAAUAAAGAAAAUAACACCAAAAACACACCAUCAAGAAUGAGAAUACAUGUGCUACCCCUACAGGAAAAGAAUUCUAAGAGGCAGCAAUCGCUACAAUGGAAGCGUGGGUUGGCCUCUAGAAAAGGUUGCAUGCGCCGCCAAAGCUAGUGCAUCUUUUUAACUAUACCUAUUAAUUUCAAUCUUUCAUAUUUGUUUCAUGAUCAAAUUCGGUCCCUUAAGCUCUAAUUACUUUAAAUCAACUUAAUUUAAAUAUAUUUUGAUAAAUUAGGCAUCAAUCGAGCACCACACCUUUGCCUUAAUAUUGUGGGACCUUUAUAUCUAAGAAUAAAAACUAUCAAGACAUUCAAAAAAAAAUGGAAGGAUCAAAUUAAAAUAAAAAAUAACGACAACUAAAAUUAGAAACUAGUCCUCAAUGGGACAAAAUUACAAGUGUUUAUAAGUUUUCAAAGACUCAAUUUUAGUCCCAAAAGCCUUAGUUGCUCUAAACCAAUAAAAUGGAAUAUUUUGUUGUAAAAUUAAACAUCACCUAAUCACUUGGAAGAUUGUAUCCAAAUUAUAUUGAGAUUAUUAUAGUGUAUGUUGUAUGGACAUGUGAUAGUUAAUAUGUGGCUGAAAAUUUCCAAACAUUCAUAUUAAAGUGUUUAUUAUUGACGGAUAUCCUAGGACUUGUCUCCUAGAAAACAUGAAAAAAACGAGUGCUUGAUCAACUUUAUUUAAGCUCAUUUUAGUUUUGAUUGACCUAAUCAAUCAAAGCCUAAAUGGUGUUAUUGAUUACCAUGGUAUUAUUGUGAUAAGUUGUGUUUUUUAUUUCUAGCAAAAUAAUUUUCAAACUAACAUUAGAUAGAUUUAAGUUAUGAUAAAAAAAAAAAUAUUUUUAAAAGGAGACAUUAUUAUUUAACUAGAGUUUAGUCAAAUUAUCUAUUACCAUCUAAUCUUGUCAUUAGGCCCAAAAAAUUGAAUAUAAAGUUGUGCUGGUAGAGGCAAUGACAUUCAGAAAGGUGGCAAUAUUAUGAACUAUAAGGGGACAUUAUUGUGCUAUCCAUGUGUAGCUCUUUGUUUAUAUAGAGAAUUAGAUGAUGAAUAACCAUUUUAUAGAACAUCUAAUACAAGCUUCUCCACUGGUCUCAAUGUUUGUGAGUUAUUUUCAGACCUCUUGUGGUCUAUCAAUUACAAGGACUAACUAAUUGUUACCCAUUAUAGCCAUGUUCUUACUAAAUUGGAUUUUUAGCAUGAUUACUAAAUUUUAUGAUUUUAACAAAUUAAUCCUAUUAGACAUGGCAAUCUAUUAAUUGAUAAUAGAUCAAUGAAUUCUUUAAUUAACAUGUUCCUUGUUAUUCAUUUCUUCCUUCUAAUAAGAAGAUUCUACACCUAAAAAAGUGCAAGCAGCAAACGAAAUUGGUUUGAUUAACCAAAAUUUGGCAAAAAAACAAGUAUAGGUACCCAAUGGCGACUCCAAUCAAGGAAAGAAGUGGAAAGAAUACAACGCUCGAUAGCCAAACCAUUUAAAACUCACAGCACGGAAAUCACAUCCAGCUUGAGCUCCAUAUAAAGGUAAUCAGCGUUACAGGCAUGGGCAUCAUAUCCAGUCAUGAGAUAAGACCAAAAAAACUUCUAUACGGGAAAGGGAGAUGAAGGGGGCGGGUCCCAAAAUUAGAGGGCCACAUCCAGAAAUCAUAGAGACCAAAUAAAAUUAAAAAUAAAAAUCUUAACAUCUGGCUAGGUUUCUCCCAUCUUAUUGAGUGUAGGAUGAAGGUUGGUAAGUAACGGGUGCAGCAGAGCCGUAAUCAUAUGCCCCAUAACUGGUCUGGCUUCCAUAAGAACCACUGGCACGGAAACUGGCAGCACUCAUGUUCUCCGCUGGCUGUGAGUAGAGUUGUUGAGGAAUUGCACUGGGGCUUUGAGAGUGAUGGUAGGGUUGCUGAGAGAUUGCGGAAGGGCUUUGAGCGUGGGAGAUACCAUAAGUUGAUGCAUACGGGACUGCUGCAGGGCCCUCAUAGACACUCUGGCUAGGGUAGUGGAAUGGCCCAGAAUAUCUUCUAGCCGGGCUAUGCUGUGCAGGGGGAGGAGCAUUCCUGCGGCUGAAAGAGGAAUAAUUGUUUGAAAAUUUGGCAGCUUUGGCUUGACGAUAAGGAGUAGGUCCGCUGUCCCGGGCACCACUUGAACCAUGGCCUCGCUUGUUUUGAGACUUGGUAGCAGUGGCAGCUGACGUACCCCUCUUCCUCUCUGCUUUGGUUUUUUCAAGCAGAGAAGCCCGUUUUCUCAAGCUGUCAAGGGAAAAUUCUGAUUCAAGCUUAUGAUCUUCCACACAUUUGAUGAUUGCUUUAAUAGAAUUCAACUCCAAGGUACUUGAUUCAUCCUGCAAAAAAAUUACUAAGAAUCUUGCAGACUCAAAUAUUUCAUGUCAUUAGAAUUACACAAUAUAGAUAGAGAUUAGACACACCGUUGCAGCUGCACUAUAAUUGCCAUUCUUCAAGACAGUAGUUGUGAUCUUCUUGGAAUUCUUAAGAUAUGACUUGAGUAGAGAUACAGGAGAAAAUAUUUUCGUCAAACCAGAUUCAGAAGCAAAAUAUACAGCCUCUAUCUCUUUCCCAUUCUUCACCAAUUCAUCGAUUAUAUCUGCAAAAAAAAUUAUGAUUGAAAACGAUUACUAAAAAAGUGAUUAUAGAACAAUAUAUCAAAAUCAGAUUUGAAAGACGAGAAUAAAGUGAUGUUCCUAAGAAAAAAGUUUAACACCAUAAACACUUGUUUGAACUCUCAGCUAAACUAAGUACAGACAUAUACACAGUGAUAGUCAUAUCUUGAAACCAGUACUAGGGAUCAUACACUACUUAACUACCUCUCAUGAGGGGAGGAAUGAGGCAGGUUUGGUUCAUAUGAACUAAGAAAUAAGCAAGAAAGAUAUUCUGUCAACUAACCUUAAAUGAUGGUUAGGAUUAUUACUCCCGGGAAUACAGAAAACUUUGUUAUUAUCUGAAGUCACAACACAGAUAAACUCUGCCUACCAAGAUAAGAGGUUUGCUAACAAAGUUGCAUGCACAAUUUAAAGGGGAACCAACCCCUGUUGGAAUGGCAAACCAAUAAAAUUAACAGACUUUUUUUUUCUUUCACAAAUGGUUGAUGAGAACCAUUGAACACUUAAAGAGUCUAGUUCACUUAAGCGUACAAUGAACAUUCUUCAGAAAAGGAAAUAAGCAGUUCUAUGCACAAUGAUGUAAGCAAAACCAAUUCAACUCUCGCAUGUCAUUUAUACAUUUAUUUGUCAGGGCAGUAUAGCAUUGUUUCCAUCACCUUGGUAAAGUCUGUUUGAUAUAAUAAAUUUUUUUUUUUAUUAUCACUCAACUUUUGUAUAAUAUAAAAAAAAUCACAUUAAUUUAUUUUCUCUUUACAGUAUGGUGCGGGCUUGCAGACCUUCUUGUCAGGUCUUCAACAAGGCAUGCAAGUUUACCUUGCGCUCAGGGUAUGGCAGUCCCAGCGCCAGGUGUUUGCUACCUGGUGUUGCUGCCAGGCUCGCUAGCUAGCCCUAGCACCAAAUAUUUAUUAGCUGGGUCAUGCCGAGCGCUAGGUAUCUGCAGACUGGGUCGUGCUACCCUGCCAAAAUCCGAACUUAUCAUUUUCUUCCCAAUCAAAUAGACAACCCCAUAUCCCCUGUAUUCUUUGCAACUCUAUAUGACGAGCAGCUCAUGUUAUUAUGUCUCCCCAACCCAUCAUGUUUUCCAAAAUAAUAUAAUACUCACUAUCUAUAAUAAUUCGCGAUACAGUACUAAACAAUGUAAUUCACAGCAAAAACAAUCACAGUCUGUAGUAACUCUUUUUAUAAUAAAAUAUAAAUCCCUUUCAGUUAUAGUUAAUUUAAGUACGUCAAUUGUGGUUUAUUGAAUGAGUUUUAUUAUAGUAAUAUGUUCAUUUGAGGUGAUGCUUUCUCUCAUCGAGAGGUUUGUUUAUUUGAUAUCUUUAUUUAUUUUUAUAUCUCUUAUGUUUUUGUGAAAUAUCAAUCAUCACAUCAAGGGGGAGAACGAAAAGAACAGAGAAAACCCACGAACAGAACACAACAGGGGAACGAAACACACAGAACACACCAGGAGGAGCGCACUGAGGACAAACUGGGAAAAAAAAAAGCAGGGGAAAAACAAGCAAACACAGAGAGGACGAACGAACGAAAAAAACCCAGAAAAAACAGAGACGACCGGACACAGAGGAGACACAGAUAAUACACAGAGAACACUGGACCAAAGACCACAAACAAAAACACAGACGCAAGAACAGAGAUAAUACAGAGAAGACGAGCAAAACAGAAGGCCAUAGGAGAACGAAACACACGCAGAACACGGGACGGACAGGAAGAAACCGAUCAGAGAAAAGCAAGAACAGAGGUGAAAGCUGAGGAAGAAAGUAACUAGUCGACCAGUCCUCCAUCACGUCUUCAUCUCCAGAACUACCAGGUAAGUCUCUUCUUCUCUUCCCCGGUCUUACAAUCUCAAUUCACUUAACACUGUGCACUUUGAAUUUUAAUUAACUCAUCACCGUACACGCACGAUACUUGCGUGCCUAGUUACCAGCCGGGUCCUGCCCAGCCCAUAGAGCGCAUUAAUCUACUAGUCUUGAUAAGGAUCCCUCGGCACUUGAGCUGGACCCAUCCAAAAAGAAAACUCUAGGCCGGUCUAAUCCUCUUUAUUUUAUUCUCUUUCGUUUUGAUAUUUGAUCAAUCCAGCUUCUGUUUUAUAUUAAAAAAAACAAUUUGAACCAUUUUGAAUUUAUGUAUAGACCCCUCGUGUUUUUUUUAAUAUUACUUAAUUGUUUAUUUGAUGUGUGAAUUUUUACUGUAAAACACAAAUUUAAUAUUUAUAUAUAUAUAUAUAUAUAUAUAUAUAUGCAUUGAUUUAACUUAAUUUUAUUGGGUUAUUCACUAAUCUUUGAGCUAGAAAUACUUUAUAUUUUGCGAAAUAUCAAUCAUCACAUCAAGGUAUUUAUUAGACUUUUGGGAUAUUGUAGUAUUAUGAUACGAGUAUAACUGAUUUCGGGUUUAAAUGUUGCUCUUUCUUUGUUAUAUCCUGGUACCAUUUCCGCCUGUAGAAUAGGUAAUUGGCUAAACUAGGUUAAAUAUAUGUAUUAUUUUCUCCUUCAUAUUAUGAGAAUUAUUUUUGAAGAUUCUAUUCAAAUUCUUAACAAACUGGCAUCAGUUGUUUGCGCUAAUAAAAUUUAUAUUAAUUUUAUAUAUUUAUGCAUAUAAUUUAUUAAUUUAUAUAAUACUGUUAGAAAAUAUAUUAAAAGACAUAAAAUAUUAUUUUAUUUAUAAAUAUAAUACACAAAACCAUAGUUAUUCUUGCACCUGGAUAUAAAAAAAUGCCUUAACUGGAAGAAUUUGACUUUGUUUGUUUUUGUUUUAAAAAAUAUUUUUGAAAAAAAUUAAUUAAUUUAAAUUAAUUUUUUUAUUUGUAUUUUCAGAUCAUUUUAAUAUACUGAUGUCAAAAAUAAUUUUAAAAAAAUAAAAAAAUAUUAUCUUUCAAGUAAAAAGCUUUUUAAAAAAUAACUGCAACUAUACUCUUAAACAUAACCGAUCAAUAACGAAUUAACAACUUGAUUUUGACUUGAAUUUAAACAUUUAUAACACAACCAAUCAAUAACAAAUUAACAACUUGAUUUUGACUUGAAUUUAAACAUUUAUAUAUAUUCUCCUAAAUAAUUGUAUUGAGAAAAAUUAUGUAGCUAAUGUACGUUUUCUCUCACUAAUACUUUAAUUAGCACAUCUCUUGCAUUCAUGUUUUCUAUGAAUUCUUUAGUUUGCUUGGCCAAAUAACAAUACAUGUAAUUACCACUGAUACAACCGCAGCAAAGUUAAGUCACUCAAGAAGAGAUCGAGCACUCAACCGAUAUUUUCCAGCACGUUGCAACUCUAUGCAAUUAAAAAUAGAUAUGCCGAGACCAGUACAUGAGGAGCUUGAACGAUGGAAGGCAGUUAAUUUCCCAGUUCCGAAGCCAGACUAUGGUUUUUCUGAGCCAAAUAAAAUACUGCAGAAGGAGUUUUAUACCUAUGCAAAGGAAGACAACUUCAAUGCCUUGUUUGGUCUCGUUUCCGAUAAACUGGAACAUGUUUCAUCAGAGGAAGUGCUCAAUGUCAUUUUCAAACAUGUUGCUGCCUCUGGAAAUUCACUGCUUCAUGUGGCAGCAAGCCAUGGAAGCGAAGGUGUGACACAGCUACUGUGUCAUCACUUCCCCCUCCUAAUCACCAGGAAAAAUUUCCUGGGUGAUAAUGCGCUUCAUCUGGCUGCCAGGGCUGGACGGUUUGACACAAUUCAAAAUCUCGUCAAGCAUGUGAAAAUUGAUCCUCAUAAAACACUUGAACUUGCUAGCUUGCUGAGGAUGAAGAAUAAUAAAGGAAACACCCCUUUGCAUGAUGCAGUCAUCAAGGGUUGCCGAGAGGUGGCCUGUUUCCUCGUUAAUGAAGACCUAGAAGUUUCCUACCACAAGAACAAGGAAGACAAGUCUCCCUUGUAUUUGGCAGUAGAGAGUUGCGACGAGAAGAUGAUUGUUUCUCUUAUAGAAGCUAUGCCGGAAGGAAAUUUAGGUAAUCACAUGUUUUCAUCAUUUAGACGUGAAAAAUAACAUGUACACUUAUUUUUAANNNNNNNNNNNNNNNNNNNNNNNNNNNNNNNNNNNNNNNNNNNNNNNNNNNNNNNNNNNNNNNNNNNNNNNNNNNNNNNNNNNNNNNNNNNNNNNNNNNNNNNNNNNNNNNNNNNNNNNNNNNNNNNNNNNNNNNNNNNNNNNNNNCGAGGACAAAAAAGGGGGAAAUCUCCUUCAUCUUGCAGCAUCCAUGGGCUUCCUUUUUGGAGCAAGACUCCUGGUUAAUCGAUGUCCUGUUGCCGCAUCACAAAGAAACGAAGAAGGCAACUUACCCAUCCAUGUUGCAUCCCAGAAGGGCCAUCUUGAAGUAGUACGCGAACUACUUAUUUAUUGGUUCGAUCCAAUGGAUUUUCUCAACGAAAAAGGACAGAAUAUUCUUCAUGUUGCAGCGGAGAGUGGACAAAUGAAAUUAGUGGAAGAAUUAUUGGGAAAUCGAGAUCUGGAAGCACUUAUAAAUGAGAAGGAUUACGAUGGAAAUACACCUUUGCACUUGGCUGCAAUGUAUGGCCGUUCUGAGAUAGUGCAUGCACUAGUGAGAGACAAGCGGGUGGAUACAAGGAUUGUUAAUAAUGAAAAGUUGAAACCAUCUGGUGUUGUUGUGAAAUUAUUGCAAGGCGGACGCUUUGAAGCUCCAAAGUCAGAUGGAAUGGUAUGCUUAUAUGCUGAGCCUUUUCGAAAAACUGACCUUAUGGUGCCAAUUAAUGGGCUUGCAAUUGCUCUUGAACAUCACGGGGGAUCAUACUCCAAAUUAAUCAUCAUAUAUACUUGCAAAAAUGAAAAUGAAAAGGACAACCUUUAACAUUACAAAACCUGAAUGCAAGAAAAUACAUUCAAAUUCAGUUUCGAAUGUCUACUUACAAAUUAAUACUGUCUUUGCUUGUCCUUGCUCAGAACAAGCUAAUCGAUACCAAGCAUGAGGAUGACGCUGCGAGAGGUGUAUGGAACAAAUCGCAGAAAGCAGAAGUUCGCAAAAUGGUAAGAUUUUCGGUUUCACAAACUUUCUUUCUUUUAAGUCUUGGCAUGUGCCUAACAUCACAAAGGGUUUUCAUUGCUCCAUCAUAUAUCAAUUUUAACAUUAUCAAUUCUAGCAACUUAGAUUUUAUUAUCAAUUCUAGCACCAUAGAAUCUCCAUCAUUUUCUUUGCAAGUAUCAAAACAUUAUUUCUUUAAAUAAAUAUGAAGGCAACAUGCAAAAUCUACAAUCCAUGAAUUUUUCAAAACCUUAUUACAUUUAUGAUCCAUGAGAACAUCAUCAUCUUUGCUCCCAUCUUUCAUGGUAAAUUACAGGACCACCUCCCAUCACCAAUGCCUCGUUACCUUUUGACAUUCUUUUCUACUUUCAAAACCUAUCAUUCUCCAUUAAGAUUAUAGUUGCAUCAUUUAAACCUAAAGGUAUCCUUUUAACUAGUAUUGUUUGCACCAAUGGCUUGUAGAUUCACUCUUUAUCCUCAAUUGUUUUCUAGUAUUGACUACUUGAGUUGUCAUCCUGUUAACUCUUGAAAGAUAGUUGUGUAUACCCAUUCCUUCAUCCAUCCUCAAGAGUACAAAUCUAACUUCAAAAGAAAACGAUUAGUCCAUCAAUACCAGAGGAACAAUCAAUACUCUCUAGUUUUUUCCAUAUGCCAAUAAGAUAACUUCAUUAAUUAUCUCUUAUAGCCGAUAAGCUUCUAGUAAUUGCAUAUAUAGGAACAAUCAAUACUCAUUUAAAAAGAUUUUUUAAUUGUCAAAACCUCAGUCACAUUUAAUUCUUUUAUACCUCUAGAAUAAAAGAAAACAUAUAAAAAAAUUAUUUCACUUUAGGUGGCAUCCAAGUCAAAUUAUAUUCUAGUUGCUUUGGUCCACGUAAGAAGCUAAUCAGGUGAUUGAAGUAAAUAUAUUCUAGUUUAGCAAAAACUUUCACAUCCACAUUUUGUCCAUGUUGCAACUUUAUAGAAAAGGGAAUUAUAGAUUUCUUUUUAUUACCUUAAAUUUGAUUAAUCCAAAAAGGAAAUAAAGUUCUUUACUUGCUAAAAAAUAUGGAAUGCCUCGCUGAUCUACUAAAUUUAUAGCGAUGAAUUACUUCUUCGUUAUUAUGGGAUAUUAAGCUAACAUUGUCAUGAUGCUUUAUAUAAUUUGUUUACCAUAUAUUUUCUAAUCAACACUUUGUUGUUCAGCGUAAGGUUUUACAAGUUUUGGUGGAGGCAGAUGAUAAGAAUGAGUUUGACAACAAUCUUAUCUCUGAUUUACCAAGAACGACGUUAACGACGGAGGAACUGAACAGAGGGGUAGGGAAUCUUCUCGUGGUGGCAGUACUGGUAGUUGGAGUAUCCUUCGCUGGUGUUAUCACUGUGCCUGGAUCAGGUUCUGAUCUUAGCAGUGAUAGUUCAAAAUAUCUGAGGAGCUCUUUUAUUGGUUUUGACAUGCUAGCUAUGAAUUUCUCCCUCAUCGCCGCUAUAAUCCUUUGUCGGAUAUCAUUAGGUCGUGCCAGUGAUGUAACAUCAAGCAUGAAGAACGCGACAUAUUAUAAUUUUUACUCCCUUUUCUGCAUGGGUAUAGCAUUUACAUUCAUCCUGCUAAUCACGGUGCAAGAACAUACUGGAUUUUUCUUAACCAUCAUCACAUCGCAUGCCUAUCUUUUUUUUAUCCAAUUAGUUUGUUCCUAUGGAUUUAUGCUUUCAACUGCAAAUAAAAUAAGGUCUUUCCUGCGUGCAAAUCCCUUUAAAUUCAUGGCUCGAAUGAAAAGAAGGAUGGAUGUACGGACUUCUCUUAUGGGUAGAGAAUAGGAUCACAUCCAGUUCAAACUGGAUAGCUUGCAAACGGGAGGGCAUUUUAUCUUGUAUUUAAAUCUCAUGUAAUUAAUUUGUAUCUCUUGUAACAAAUAGAUAUUAAGCUCUUUCUCUUCUCUCUUGUAAUGACUUUGGUUAUAUAUAAAGCAGAACAUGCAUGUCUCUGGUGUGUCUCUUCAGAGUUUUUCCAUGUUGCAGGGUACUUGACUUUCGAAUUCUUAGCACUAAAUAGUUUGACAACAACUAAUCGCGUGCGUUUUUAAUUCUAAAAAAAAUUAAAAAAAAAUAAUAAUGAAAAGAAUGAGAAUUAUUAGACCCAUGAGAGACCCAUUCACAAACUUGUUUUCGGUGAGCAACCUAUUCAUAGACCCAUCAAUUCAUAAAAAUUCAAACAGUUGUGUAAAGACUGGGAUUCGGUGAGAGACCCAUGACACAAGGGACAUGGACUUGUCUGUAAUUUGACAAAUAAAUUACUCUAGACUCUAAAUCAUGAUGCUAUUUGCAGAAGGUGCAAAAAGAUAAAUAGAAUAACUUACUAUGGCUGGUGGAGACUGGUCACUGGAGAGCCGCCGUUGUUGUUGUCUGAAAUCUGCAUCUCAUGGUGGCUGGUGAAAAAGACGGUUGUUGCCUGUUGGUGGUGGACCGAUGGUUGAUUGCUGGAACUUGGACGGCUGAGAGAAAGAGAACAAGGAUUUAGUGACUUAGGGAUUUUGAUUUUUUCCGGUUCUGUGUUGUUAACUUGUGUGAAAGACUGAAAAAAGAUGAAGAAAGAUGAAGAUCGUGGUUUUGUUCUGCGUGUGAGUCACACGGUGUGAUUGUGUGUACUGUGUAAUAGUCAAUAGGCCAAUACUUGCUUGACACGUGGAGCUAGAGGGAACAGUGGCGCAACAUUUCCUGUUUUGGUAUAGACGCGUAAAAUCGGGUGUAAAAUCGCGUUUUUGCACGAUUUCACCCGAUUUUAACGAUUUUACCCGAUUUUACCUAUUUCCGAGUUUUUUGAACGAUUUAGCACGUUUAGCCUAUAUUGACUCGUAAAAUCGUACGAUUUUACGAGUUGAAUCACGAUUUUAACAACCUUGGUUGCAAGUGAAGCUAAGAAAAGAAAAACAAUUCGUAAAGUAUAUUAAUUAAAUAAAACUGUGAAGAAAAAAGAAAAAAGGAGAAGAAUACAUACCUGAGCAUGGAGGAGAAGAGAAGGAGUUGAGGAGAGGAGAGAAGAGAAAGAAAUGGAUUUCAUGUUUUUUACAUAUGGGGAAGAAGAAGAAGAAGAAGAAGAAGAAAGGAGAACCGUCUGUUGUGAAAUUAUAAAUUCUAGGUUUUUUAUUGUGCGUUUUACCGACGGAUAAUUAAAUAUUAAUAUUUUUAAUCAUUCCGUCAGUGAUUCCAUCUGUAAUAUUUAAUUUAAAUUUUUAAUUUAAUUAAAAAAUUUUAGAAACUGCCAAAUAUCACCGAUGACUUUUCAAUUCAUAGUUGAUUCCGUCUGUAAUAUUUAAUUUAAUCAAAAUUUUUCAGAAAACCGCCAAAUAACACCGACAACUUUUCAAUCCGUCAGUGAUUUUAUCUGUAAAGAACAAUAAUUAAUAGUGCAAUUGGGAAGUGAACAGUUCACUCGGUAUUUCUAUUUGUAUUUAUCGAUUUUCUGGUAGUGAGUCUCGUUCGGGGUUCGUGACUGCCCCUCCCAAGAAGUGCGCUUUCUGGGGAUCGAACUUGUGUUCUCACCCUUGCAGGGAUAUAGCAGUGUCUUAACCGCUAGAACGCUUUAUUGGUGUGAGAUGGUUUUGGUUUGCCAUUUGAAACAUUCACAUUUCACUUUAGAUGGUAUUUAAGUCAAAUUACUUUGUAUUCUAGCCGUUGGGGUCCACAUAAGAAGCUAAUCAAGUGAUGGAAGCAAAUAUAUUCUAGUAUAGCAAAAACUUUCACAUCCAAAUUUUAUCCAAGUUGCAACUUUACGGAAAAGGGAAUGAUAGAUUUCUUUUAAUUACCUUAAAUUUGAUUCAUCCAAAAUGGAAAUAAAGUUCUUUACUUGCUCAAAAAUAUAGAUAUCUCACUGAUCUACUAAAUAGCGAUGAAUUACUUCUUCGUUAUUAUGGGAUAUUAAGCUAACAUUGUCAUGAUGCUUUAUAUAAUUUGUUUACAAUAUAUUUUCUAAUUAACACUUUGUUGUUCAGCGUGAGGUAUUAACAGUUUUGGUGGAGGCAGAUGAUAAGACUGAGUUUGACAUCAAGCUUCUCUUUGAUUUACUAAGAACGACGUUAACGACGGAGGAACUGAACAGAGGGGUAGGGAAUCUUCUCGUGGUGGCAGUACUGGUAGCUGGAGUAACCUUCGCUGGUGCUAUCACUGUGCCUGGAUCAGGUUCUGAUUUUAACAGUGGUAGUUCAAAAAAUCUGAUGAGAGCUUAUAUUUUUUUUGACAUGCUAGCUAUGAAUUUCUCCCUCAUCGCCGCUAUAAUCCUUGGUCGGAUAUCAUUAGGUCGUGCCAGUUAUGUAACAUCUUGCAUGGAGAUGGCGACAUUUCUUAAUUUUUACUCCCUUCUCUGCAUGGGUAUAGCAUAUACAUUCAUCCUGGCAAUCACGGUGCAAGAACGUAAUGGAUUUUUCACAACCAUCAUCACAUUCCAAGCCUGUCUUUUUUUUACCCAAUUAGUUUGUUCCUAUAGAUUGAUGGUUUCAACUGCAAAUUCAAUAUUGUCUUUUGUGCAAGCAAAUCUCUUUAAAUUGAUGGCUGGAAUGAAAAGGAGGUCGGAUGUACGGACUUCUCUUAUGGGUACAAAAUAGGAUCAAAAGAUUUAUUGUUUUUUUAAUAUAUUUUUUUAGAAAAUCGAAAGACAAAUUUGUAUUCUGUGUAAUUGUUUGGCGAUAACAUGUGCUGCCAUAUAUAUUAAUUGUGAUAAGGAUAAUAAGAGCCAUCCAGUUCAAACUGGAGAGCUUGCAACCGGGAGGGCAUUUUAUCUUGUAUUUAAAUCUCAUGUAAUUUGUAACAAAUAGAUAUUAAGCUCUUUCUCUUCUCUCUUGUAAUGACUUUGGUUAUUUAUAAAGCAGAACAUACAUGUCUCUGGUGUGUCUUUACAGAGUUGCAGGGUACUUGACUGUCGAAUUCAUAGCACUAAAUAGUUUGACAACAACUAAUUGCAUGCGUUUUUGAUAAAUAGUAUGUACUAGUCGUGCACCUCAGCUAUGAUGUGGGGUUGGAUUCUUUUUCUUUCAUAUAAAAGUGUUGUAAAAUGUAUUCUAAAGCAUAGAGAAAAAUACAUGAUUUAAAUAAAUCAGACUAGAUUAAAUAAAUUUGUUUUAUUUUAAUUAAAUGAUAAAAAAAAAUUAAUGUGCUAAACUGCUAGAGCAUAUAGAACAAAUUAAAAAAAAAUAAUCAUGAUGAUAAUGUCACACCAAGACAUCGCGGCAGUCUUAAAAAUUUUACAAGGAAAGAAUAAAUUUCUAACAUCUUGUUCUUUUAGGGAAAAUGUCUUAUUUAAGGAGUCACUAUCUAGUAUUAUAGUCACUAGGAACCCUAACUGGUCAACAUAGAUUCUAUAGUACGAGACUAGUUGUGGCUAGAGAAGAUAUAAGCACCCCUAACGCAUCUUGUUUAUUUGUGUUAUGACAAUUCACUGGUAAUAUUCAUGACUCUAGCGUCGUGAAUAUUUAAUUACAGUUACUUUCAACGCUGGUCUUGGUAAAUAUUCCAUUUCGGGUAAUUCCAACUCUGGCGUUGGUAAAAAUUCCACUACGAAUAAUUCCAACUCUGGCGUUGGUAAAAAUUCGUAGCUAAAAAAAAUCAUUAAAAUCAUUUUUUUUAUUCCGGUAUCAGUGAAUAAAAUCAAUAAAAAAAACAUGUAUUUUCUUAUUUCUAAUGCAUGCAAUUUCUAUUUCUAUUUUUUAUUUUUUAUUUUUAUUUAUUCUUUUAUUUAUUUAUUUAUUGACUGGGCCCAGCUCAGCUCAUAUGGGCUGGGCUAGACCCAGCCAACCCGGCCCGGUCACCAGCCCAAGCCAGUGACCCGGCUGGGCAAAGCACGCGUGAACUUGAUUCACGCGUGCAUGGCACUGUGCGAAGGUAAUUAAUUACCUUCGCACAGUGCUAAAUGCACUGAAGUUUCAAAAAGAAUGAAGAGGAAGAGAAAGCUUACCUUGCCGCAGGUUGCUUCGCUGGAGUGUUAGCGUCUUGGGCGAAGAUCAGUGAAGGCGUCCGUUGCUAGGAACUGGAAUUCCUCCUUGUACCUCUGCUUUCCUGCCCUCUGUUUCUUCUUCUCUCGUCUGUGUAUUUUUUUUUUUUGCUCUGUUUUUCUACUGCUUCCACCUCUGGCGUUUGUUUUCUUCCUUGCUGUUUCGGUCCCCUCUGGUGACGGAAGGCUAGUUUCUGUUAUGGGAUUUCUGGAAAAAAAAAAAAACUAAGAGUUCCUCUGGUUUCUUUGUGUCUCUUUUCUUCCCGGUGCUUUUUUUCUCUCCGUCUCUCUCUGUUUUUCUCUCUUCGUCUGUGUCUCCUGGGUUUUUUUGUGUUCGUCUCCUGUGUUUUUUUCUCUGGUUCUCGUUCCUCUCUCCCUGGGUUUUUUGCCUUUUCUUUUUUUUCUGGGUCUCUUCUCUCUGUUCCUGCGGUUCCCCCUCUGUUUUCUUCUUCAGUUUUUUUUUUCCUGCGCCAUCUCAUCUUCUCUGGCUUUAUAGCCAGAGAUUUGAAACGGCUUCCAUCCUUUACUCCAGCAACGGCUCCUGAGGAGGAAGACGAAGAAGGCGAUUAACAAAUUCUAAAAACGGCGCCGUUUGUGUGAUGGGAAUAGACAUUUUCAAUCUGGUCACUGAAGUUAUGAAAUCGUGUAAUCAAGUCCCUGGGUAAAUUAUAAUUGGACCCCUUUAUUUCCGUGCUUUUUACAAGCUAGUCCUUGGACUUUAAUCUGCUGCAAUUUGGCCCCCAAUUUGCCCCAAACUUUGGUAUUUCUUCAAUUAAGUCUCUGAUUUCAUUAAUUAAAUUAAUUCCAAGCUCGAAUAAGUUUCAAAACUUAUCAAUUCUCCAAUUAAGCCCUUGAUUUGAUUAAUUAAAUUAAUUUCAAGCUCAAUUAAGUCUCAAAACUUCCAAUCAUGUUACCCUUAACCCAAAUUUUAAUUUAUUAUUCAUUUUUUAUUUGUUUUUCAUCAUCAUUUUAUCAUUUUUUUUUAUUAUCAUUUUUUAGUAAAUAAAAUAAUAGUAAUAAUAAUAAUAAGAUAAAAUGGUCAAAAAUUGGGUUAUGACAGUUGUCUCCUCUUUAUAAUAUUUACUAUGCAAAGAUAUUGGAAAAUUUCAUUUUCUUUUAGCUUUGUGUAGUAAAUUUAUAAAGAAAAGUAGAUAUAGAAAGAACUUUUGCUUCUUUUUUUUUUAGAGUCUUGAAAACUUCGAAAACAAUAGAUUGACAUAUGACUUUUACAAGGAGAUGUAGAAAUCAAGAAACAAGUUAUUUGGAAGAAGAUCCACUUUUUUUUGUUGUGUUUUUUUUUUUAAAUGGAUCAAAUUUGGGCAACCUGCCCGAUGAUAAAAGAACGCAAAGAAUUUCGCGAGUGAUCUAAUUGUUCCAGGCGACCUGCCUGAUGAAGAAUAAAACGCGAGAAGGGUUUUGCGAGUGGUCUUCGCGAGUUGUCUAAUUGUUCCAAACGACCUGUUCGAUGGUGAAAAUAUGGAGAGAGAUUUUUUUUUCUUAGAAGUGGUCUCAUUGUGAAAAUAUAGAGAGAGAUUUUUUUUUCUUAGAAGUGGUCUCGUUGUAAUAAGUGACCUACCUAGGUGGGAAAAUACAAAGAAAGGGUCUCAUUGUAAUGGGUGACCUACCCAAGUAAAAAGAGAAAGGAAAAUGAGGGCUUGAAGGCGCACUCAAAAGGAUGGUCGAGGGAUCAAAGGCGCACUCAAAGGAAGUGAAGGCUCGAAGACGCACUCAAAAGAAUGGUCGAGGGCUCGAAGGCGCGCUCGAAAGGAAGUGAGGGCUCAAAGGCGCACUCGAAAGGAAGUGAGGGCUCAAAGGCGCACUCGAAAAAGGUGAGGGAUCGAAGGCGCACUCAAAAGAGGUGAGGGCUCGAAGGCGCACUCGAAAAGUGAGGUAGGGUUAGGAAACGCACUACCUUGGAUGGUCAAAGGCUCGAAGGUGCACUUGAAAGGAAAUGAGGGCUCGAAGGUGCACUUGAAAGGAAAUGAGGGCUCGGAGGCGCACUCAAAAGAAGUGAGGGCUCGAAGGCGCACUUAAAAGAGAGGUAGGGCUAGGAAACGCACUACCUUACAUGAUCAAGGACUCAAAUGCGCACUUUAAAGGAGAUAGAGGCUUGAAGAUGCCCUUGAAAGGGAAGUAGGGUUAGGAAACGCACUACCUUAGAUGGUCAAGUGCUUAAAGGCGCACUCGAAAGGCUCGAAGGCUCGAAGGCGCACUUGAAAGGAGAUAAGGGCUUGAAAGCGCUCUCGAAAAGGGAGGUAGGGUUAGGAAAUGCACUACCUUGGAUGGUCAAAGGCUCGAAGGUGCACUUGAAAGGAAAUGAGUGCUCGAAGGCGCCCUAAAAAUGAUGAUCGAAGGCUCGAAGGUGCAUUCGAAGGAGGUGGAAAAACACAGAGAUUUUUCAGGUGGCCUAAUUCUCAUGGGCGGCCUGCCCAGGUUGAAAAAUUCUCAAAAAUGAAAAAUUUUCAAAAGCAAUUUCAAUCUUUGGCCAUUUCAAGUUGGCCUUCCACUUGAUGGAUUCCGCCAGAAUUUUCUCUUAUGAAAUUUGCAAAACUCAUUGUCCAAUGUCUCAAAGUUUAGAUGAUAUACAUGCAUCUUUACCUGAUUUAAAAUAUAGGCCCCCAUUUCUUCUUGAUCUUCUUGUUGUUUGAUUGAUGAAGACAUGAUAUCUCUGAUUUGGUCAUCUUCAUUGCUUGGCUUCUAGCCCACUUGAGUUAGCCUAUGUAAGUUUAUUCCCAAAUUUGUUUACAUAACUGAGCCUUUGUGGUGCCCAUCAUGACCCACUUGCUUGCUAGAGAUUUUCUGUCUCGUCAAAUAAUUUGAGACGAUCAUUCAUUACUCCCCGUCUCACUUCUAAUAACAUUCGGUGUCAAUUGCUAAAAGGAUCAAGUUGUCUUUCGUAAACCAAAAUACCCCCUUAUCUUGUUGUAGGAAAUGCUCAUCUCUUUUUCCUAUAAGGGAUCGAUUCUCCUUCUAAACACAAUGUUGCCCCCUUGUACUGAUCAUUGCCCCCAAGUGUGCUAUGUCAGUGACUUAGACAAAUAAUGUUUUUAAGAGGCCAUUCUCUCAUUUCUCUCCUUUUUAGUUUUGUGAAGGAAUAUGGGUCUAGAAUGAAUCUUGAAAUCUUGAUCUUGCAUUUUGAAAACAAAAAUUAUUUCGUUGUGAGUUUAAAACAAUUUGCUUUUGAAAUAUUGCAACUCUUUGGCUAUUUUCUUUCUUGAAAAAGAGAUUAUAUGCUCUUGUGUUUGGCAAUGAGGUCUUCGGUGAAAAUAUGUCAUGAGAUGACCUUUUGUUUUUAUAGGUUUUCAAAGUGAAGGGCUCGAGAAAAAGCUCGAGGUUUUGUUUGAGAAAAAAAAUUUGUCUCUUUUUUAACAUUCAUUUUUAUCAGCAUGAAUAAUAAUGAGUAGUUUAUUCUUGAUGUCAUGAAUCAUAUGAAAAGGUAUUCUUUGCAUUUUGAAAGCAUUGUUUAUUGUUCCAGGUUGCUUGCUUGCUUGAUUAGAAAGGACUUCUACAGGCACGUAACGUAGGCUAUGGUUUUUUGCUAUGAAAGAAAAGGAUUCAUAAGGCUCAAAGAGUGUUGCAGGGUUUCAAAGAAUGGGGAUCACUAUCAACAGUUUGACUCUUGAUGUCAUUCAUAUUUUAUUUUGCCGCUCUUCUUUGAUUUGUCACUUCUUCUUUUUUAUUGCUUUGCUAUGGCAUACUCAUUUUAUCUUGGAUGUCACUUUUUCUAGUGAUUUGGGCAUGCCCCCUAGCAUUUGAGUUUCUUACGCUCUUAUGCCUUUUUGGCUUUCUCACAGCUUUUUCUCUUUUCUCAUUGAAAUUUUCUCUUACCCUCUAGUGUGGGGUGUGAUCCUAGUCGGGAUUUUUUUUCAUGAAAGAAAAAUUAUUCAGGCUCAAAAAGGGAUCGCAAGGGAUGUACUUAUUUCAGAACGUGAAAGGAAUAACAAAGAUGGUCUUUCCUCAUUUCAAGCGCAAGCAGUUAAGAUCAAUAAACUUUGACCUCAUCCAGUAUGAUGGUUUGGUCUUUGCAAAGAUGCAUUUCAUGAAUCAUGAGCAACGAGUUCACUACAUACCAUUAUUCAUACAUUUAAAAACACAUGAUUCAAGAGUCAUGGGGUAAGGGUGUUUAUUCAUUUUUUUUUGUUUAUAAUUUAGUCACCUCAAUGAUGGAGUUAUUUGAUUCACUUGUCAUUCUACAAGUAGAAUGUCAAAAAUAUCAUUUUUGAAUAAACAUCAAAUUAUUUUUUGAAAUCAAAAUGCUAGAUCAAUUUUUCAAAACUCCAAUAGGGAACUGAUUUUGGUAAAAGAGAUGAAUUGCGUCUAUGAGAUCACGCGAGGCUUCAAAAGUGUAUUCGUGAGUUCUUAUAAGAAAUCUCUCUUAAGAAGAUGAAUAAUGCUUGGUCGUAAACACGAUUGAAUGACAAACUCAUUAUUUCAUUGAAACUUUGGAAAAGAAGUUCAACAACAAAGAACUUAUGUCAACAUCUUGGGCUAUGAAUAUUGGCAUGGUAACACAUAAAAGGGCUAAACAUUUAGCAAUCAUUGAUUGGAAUUUUCAAAAUCUUUCAAUCAUUCAUUCUCCUCGACAAGGGCAUCUUUUCAACAGUUAGUUGAAGUCAUAUGCAGACCAUUCUCGGCCUAGUAUCACCAUAGCUUCUUUUCUUCAAGAUAGUUGAUUUCUGGGAGUCAGUGUGAAGAAAUUAGCUAUAGAAUGGUAGGUGCCUUGGCAACCAACUUCAGUGUCCCUCCCUUUUCCAACUAAAACUGUUCUUCUUAAUCGGGUCAGCAAUCUUCCCUAUCCCAAUGACUUGUUCAAUCCUCUCAGCUAUAACAACCAGGUCAGUGAAAUGUUGAGCAGAGCUUCCAACCAGGUAUUCAAAGUACGGGGCCUUAAAGGUGUUGGAAAAUAAACUAAUCAUCUCUUUUUCCAACUUUAAAGGGUUAACUUGUGCAGUUACCUCACUCCAUCUUCGGGCGUAUUCCCUUAUGGACUCCUUGUUGUCCUUCUCCAUAGCUUGCAAGCUUAACCGAUCAGGACCCACGUCUAUAUUGAACUUAUAUUGUCUCAUAAUAGCAUCAACUAAAUCCUUCCAUUUUUUAACCUUGGUAUUGUCCAACCGCAUAUACCAAGUAAGGGUAGUGUCACUCAAGCUGUCUUGAAAGAAAUGAAUCAGGAGUUUCUCAUCAUCAACCACCUCAGCCAUUUUGUUGCAAUAUGCCUUGAGAUGAGUUACAGGGCAUUGGGUACCUGUAUAUUUAGCAAAUUCUAGGACCCUAAACUUUUUAGGAAUGACUACGUUAGGUACCAAACACAUCUUGACAGCUUUCACUAGGUCACAUAAAUGAUUUCCCUCAACUGCCCUUACCCUCUCUUAUAGGGCAGUCCAUUUUUCCAGACCCUCUUCUUUUACCAUCUUGCCCUUUUGAGAUUCCUUCUCUGUAGAAUCAAUGGUAAACGGCAUUCUCGUGGGGUAAGCUGGUUGGAAAUACAUGGCUUGUUGAAAAUCAAAUGACAACCCAUUUGCCCCCAGAUUCUGUGGAUUGAAAGGAUUUAUGAGCAUAGGUUCAGGCUGAGCUAUAUGUGUUGCUUUUCCAGAUUUGUCUCUCAAGACCUGUUCGAGUAGACUAGUAAGCCUUGCGACUUCUUCUUUAAGAUUGUCCACCUUUUUUUAGUGUUGGGCUUCCAACUGGCUCUUUCUUCAUUUUUCAUUUGUCAUUUUCUCAAAUAAUUGUUAUACGUAGGUUUCAAUGGGAAACCUAUAUUUCAACAUGCUAAAUGUAAAUCAUGCAAUUAUGCAAAAAUGUUGAUUCAAUUAAAAAAAAUGUGUAUGAAAUGCAGACUUCCCCUUCACAGGAUGACAACCUAAUAAGAAGAUCCUAAGUGUUGAAUGCAUCAAAGGGUUGGUCAUUAUCUAGUUUCAAAGGGUCUCUCACAUGCUCAGUAAUCGUCCUUGAAAGGUCGAUAUGAGGCUUACAAGUAGUGUGAAGAUAGAGGCCCUAAGUAAUAUCAGUUUGGCAUAUCAACCACUUCCAAGUAAACAAUCAAGUGAGAGUUGGAUGGUUUCACAAGUCUUACUCAGGCUAAAACUAUUGGGGUACCGCUACUUUCCCACUUAUCUUAGAUUGUAAAGUGUGUGCUCUCAAAGUGAUGCAUGGAAAUAUAAACAAGGAUGCAUGCUAAAGUAGUAAAUGCACGAAAAAUAAACAAAUAAACACAACAAACAAGAUAACAAUAAUAAGACAAAAGGCAAAGCUUAAUCCUAAAAGUCCUCGGUGGAGUCGUCAUUCUGUCACACCCGGACAUCGCGGCGGCCUUAAAAAUUUUACAAGGAAAGAACAGAUUUCUAGCAUCUUGUUCUUUUAGGGAAAAGGUCUUGUUUAAGGAGUCGUCACCUAGUAUUAUGGUCACUAUGAACCCUAACUGAUCAACAGAGAUUCUAUGGUACGGGACUAGUUGUGGCUAGGGAAGGUAUUAGCACCCCUAGCGCACCUUACCUGAGGUAAGCUACAUUGUUAAUCUUAUCUUAAAUUGCUAAAUUUUUUGUUUAUUUAUGUUAUGACAAUUCACUGGUAAUAUUUCUGACUCUAGCGUCAGUGAAUAUUUAAUUACAGAUACUUCCAACUCUGGCGCUGAUAAUUACUCAACUAUGAAUAAUUUCAACUCUGGCGUUGGUAAAAAUUCGUAACUAAAAAAAAUCAUUAAAAUCAUUUUUUUUAUUCCGACAUAAGUGAAUAAAAUCAAUAAAAAAACAUUUAUUUUCUUAUUUAAUGCAUGCAAUUUCUAUUUCUAUUUUUUAUUUUUUAUUUUUAUUUAUUCUUUUAUUUAUUUAUUUUUUGGAUGGGCCCAGCUCAGCCCAUAUGGGCUGGGCUAGACCCAGCCAACCCGGCCCGGUCACUGGCCCACGCCAGUGACCCGGCUGGGCAAAGCACGCGUGAACUUGAUUCACGCGUGCAUGGCACUGUGCGAAGGUAAUUAAUUACUUUCGCACAGUGCUAAAUGCACUGAAGUUUCAAAAAGAAUGAAGAGGAAGAGGAAGAGAAAGCUUACCUUGCCGCAGGUUGCUUCGCUGGAGUGUUAGCGUCUUGGGCGAAGAUCAGUGAAGGCGUCCGUUGCUAGGAAACUGGAAUUCCUCCUUCUACCUCUGCUUUCCUGCCCUCUGUUUCUUCUUCUCUCGUCUGUGUAUUUUUUUUUUUGCUCUGUUUUUCUACUGCUUCCACCUCUGGCGUUUGUUUUCUUCCUUGCUGUUUCGGUCCCCUCUGGUGAGGGGAGGCUAGUUUCUGUUAUGGGAUUUCUGGAAAAAAAAAAAAACUAAGAGUUCCUCUGGUUUCUUUGUGUCUCUUUUCUUCCCGGUGCUUUUUUUCUCUCCGUCUCUCUCUGUUUUUCUCUCUUCGUCUGUGUCUCCUGGGUUUUUUUUGUGUUCGUCUCCUGUGUUUUUUUCUCUGGUUCUCGUUCCUCUCUCCCUGGGUUUUUUGCCUUUUCUUUUUUUUCUGGGUCUCUUCUCUCUGUUCCUGCGGUUCCCCCUCUGUUUUCUUCUUCAUUUUUUUUUUCCUGCGCCAUCUCAUCUUCUCUGGCUUUAUAGCCAGAGAUUUGAAACGGCUUCCAUCCUUUACUCCAGCAACGGCUCCUGAGGAGGAAGACGAAGAAGGCGAUUAACAAAUUCUAAAAACGGCGCCGUUUGUGUAUGGCAAUAGACAUUUUCAAUCUGGUCACUGAAGUUAUGAAAUCGUGUAAUCAAGUCACUGGGUAAAUUAUAAUUGGACCACUGUAUUUCCGCGCUUUUUACAAGCUAGUCCUUGGACUUUAAUCUGCUGCAAUUUGGCCCCCAAUUUGCCCCAAACUUUGGUAUUUCUUCAAUUAAGUCCUUGAUUUCAUUAAUUAAAUUAAUUUCAAGCUCAAAUAAGUUUCAAAACUUAUCAAUUCUCCAAUUAAGCCCUUGAUUUGAUUAAUUAAAUUAAUUCUAAGCUCAAUUAAGUCUCAAAACUUUCAAUCAUGUUGUCUUUAACCCAAAUUUUAAUUUAUUCUUCAUUUUUUUAUUUGUUUUUCAUCAUCAUUUUUUUAUUUUUUUAUUAUCAUUUUUCAGUAAAUAAAAUAAUAGUAAUAAUAAUAAUAAAAUAAAAGGGUAAAAAAUUGGGUUAUGAAAAAAGUCAAAUAAGUUAAAUGAAAAAAAUAUUAGCUAAAAAAAUUGUCCGAAUAUUGCAAUUGUGCUCUAAAACAGUUAAAAAUCUUUGUGACAAAGUACAAAGUCAAAUAAGCUGAUAACAUUUAAUUAGAUGAUAAAACAAAGAAGGGUAAAUAGAUUGAAUCAAACAAAAAAAAGUUUGGAUGAGAACUUAUAAAAACAUCAACAAAAAAGAAAAAAAAAAAAGUAAUGGAGCUUAGUUCCGAGCCAACCAAAUAUUAAUGAUUGAAAUCGGAGAAAUAAAAAAAAAACUUAAAUCUAUACGAGUAUGCAUGUUAAAGUUGCAAGUCGGUUUAUUAGACUGGGAUAAGCAUAUAUAAAGCAAAUAAAAAAAUAAUAGAACCCUAUUCCUAAAAAAAUCAAAUGUAAAAAAAUAAAAUCGAAAGGAAAUCAUUUUAGAAGAAUGACAGGAAAAAAAAAAAAGAAACACCAGUAAACCCAACAAGCCUACCAAACCUUAUAAUCCAGAUUAUAAGAAUGACAUAACCCAAUACAAAGUAAAUUAGAAAAAAUUACGAAACUUAAUUAUAAAAGGAACCAAAUGUUCAAGGAUGAAACUAAUAAAAUUCUAAAUUAAAAAAGUAACGAUCCAAAAAAAACUCGUCAAACAUGUGGUCUUGGUAAUGAAAUAGGGAUAACUGAAUUAAAAAAAACAAAUAAAUAAAUCAUGAAGAUCAAUUUUUAAAAAAACAAUUGAAGGAUGAAAAUGAAAAAGAAAAAUUGUGUUGAGAAAAAUAAACCCUAAUAAAUAAAAGAACAAUGUUAACUCAGGUUAAUUUUUAAAAUAUAUGACUUGGUUCAUAAAACAAUGAUCACCUUAUAAAAAAACACAGAACCCAAUUCCUAACUAACACUAUGUUGAAGAAUUAAAUUAAAAAAAUUAAUUUUAUAAAAGGCUCUAAAACAAGAAAAAAUAGCAACCAAAAGAUGAGAACAAAAGUAGAAAUAAAAAAAUAGAGAUUUGGCAUUUUUGAAUUGAUGGUGAAAUUGAAAGGACAAUUUCAUUUCAAUCAAAAACUAAAAAUAGAAAUUAAAAAAAUAUGGACCAAAUUAAAAAAUAAAAUAAAAGGACAACUUGCAAUUUUUAUUGAAUGAUGAAAUGAAAAAUAAUUUUUAAUUUUAAAAAAGGACCCAGAACAAGAACUUAGUAAUUAAAAAAAAGAAUGGUCGAAUUUGAAAUAACAAUAAAAUAAGGGAACAACUAUGAAAUUUAAAAUGGCUAUCGUGAAUUUUGAGGAGAAGAGAGAGAAAAUAAGGAAAGAAUAAAGAAAAUAACACUGACAACACACCACCGAGAAUGAGAAUACAUGUGCCACCCCUGUAGGAAAGAAUGUUGAGAUGCAUGAGCUACCCCCAUCAAACUCGUGGUCCUAAUAAUGAAAUCAGGAUAACUAAAUUGAAAGAAAAAAAAAAUCAUAAAGCUCAAUUUUAAAAAAAAUAAUAAUUAAAAGAUGAAAAUGAAAACUAAAAAUUGUGUAGAAAAAAACUCAAUAAAUAAAAGAACGAUGUUAACCCGGGUUAAUUUUUAAAAUAUAUGACUUGGUUCAUGAAACCAUGAUCAUCCUAUAAAAAAAAACAUAGAGUUUAAUUCCUAACUAACCACAUGCUGAAGAAUUAAAUUAAAAAAAUUAAUUUUACAAAAGGCUCUAAAAAAAACAACCAAAAGAAUGAGAAUAAAAUUAGAAAUAAAAACAAAUUAGAGGAUGAAAUUGAAAGGAAAAUUUAAUUUCACUAUAGAAUCAAAAACUAAAAAUAAGAAUUAAAAAAAUGUGGAUCAAAAUUGAAAAAUAAAAUAAAAGGACAACUUGCACUUUUUUUAUUGAAUAUCGAAAUUGAAAACAAUUUUACAUUUUAGAAAAAGACCUGGAACAAAAACUUAGUAAUAAAAAAGAGAUCAAAUUUGAAAUAAUAAUAAAAUAAAGGGACAACUAUGAAAUUUGAAAUGACUAGUAUGAAAUUUGAAGAUAAGAGAGGGAAAAUAUGAAAACAAAUAAAGAAAAUAAGACCAACUACACACCACCAAGAAUGAGAAUACAUGUGCAACCCCUACAGAAAAAGAAUUCUAAGAUGCAUCAAUCGCCACAAUGGAAGAGUGGGUUGGCCGCUAGAAAAGGUUGCAUGUGCCGCCAAAGCUACUACAUUUUUUUAACUAUACCCAUUAAUUUCAGUCUUCUAUAUUUGUUUCAUAAUCAAAUUCGGUUCUUUAAGCUUUAAUUGCUUUAAAUCAACUUAAUUUAAACAUAUUUUGAUAAAUUGAGAAUCAAUCGAGCACCAGACCUUUGCCUUAAUAGAUCAAUUGCUUUAAAUCAACUAAUUUUUAGCAUGAUUACUAAAUUGUUAUGAUUUUCCUGUUAGGCAUGCCAAUCUAUUAAUUGAUAAUAGAUCAAUGAAUUGUUUAUUUUACAUGUUCCUUGUUAUUCAUUUCUUCCUUCUAAUAAGAAGAUACUACACCUAAAAAAGUGCAAGCAGCAAACGAAAUUGGUUUGAUUAACCAAAAUUUGGCAAAAAAACAAGCAUAGGUACCCAAUGGCGACUCCACUCAAGGAAAGAAGUGGAAAGAAUACAACGCUCGAUAGCCAAACCAUUUAAAACUCACAGCACGGAAAUCACAUCCAGCUUGAGCUCCAUAUAAAGGUAAUCAGCGUUACAGGCAUGGGCAUCAGAUCCAGUCAUGAGACAAAACAAAAAAAAAAAACUUUUAUACGGGAAAGGGAGAUGAAGGGGGCGGGUCCCAAAAUUAGAGGGCCACAUCCAGAAAUCAUAGACCAAAUAAAAAUAAAAAUAAAAAUCUUAACAUCUGGCUAGGUUUCUCCCAUCUUAUUGAGUGUAGGAUGAAGGUUGGUAAGUAACGGGUGCAGCAGAGCCGUAAUCAUAUGCCCCAUAACUGGUCUGGCUUCCAUAAGAACCACUGGCACGGAAACCGGCAGCACUCAUGUUCUCCGCUGGCUGUGAGUAGAGUUGUUGAGGAAUUGCACUGGGGCUUUG